UCGGUUGCAUCGUCGUGUCGAGUUGCUGGUCUUAGUGUCUAGGUCGUUUAGAAUUUCGAGUUCUGUUCACAUUAGUCACGUCGCCGCUGCAUCGUUAUCCCUUCCACUGACCACCACCCAUCCAUCAAUUUCCACCACGUGCUACCCACCAUUCAUUGUCAUAAUAAUAGUUGAGAUCUAGUUUGUUUUGGUAAGAGGGAGAAAAAAAGAGAGAAAAAAAAACGAGAAAAAAAAAGUCAGAGAAAAAAAGGAGAAGAAAAAGAAAAAAAAGCGUGAGAAAAAAAAGAGAGAAGAAAAAAAAAUUGGAUCUAUCUAGAAUCAAUCUCGUAGCUGAAGUCGGAUUGAAAUCUGUUUUGCGCACUGUUCAGUAAAACAGGUGUAUCUUCCUCAUACGAAGUCCGUUUUGGCUCCGUGAGUACUCAAAUUGAAGAUAGCGACGAGCCGCAUCUAAAUAGUUGCAGAAGCUUGUUCAAUAUUUGACACCUCAAAAUCGGCUUCUAAAUAGGACUUUUUGCCCUCCGAAGUUCGUGAACACAGCUUGUUCCAAUUUUUCAGGCCAGUUUUAGAAUUCUUUGACUCCUCAUAUCAACUCGGAAUUGAGUGAUUCUUUUUGCAUUGGAAAGCUUGAGUUAGUAGCAUCCUUUGAAAGAAUUUAUCAGAAAAUUGUCUCAAACUUUUCGAGAGGAAAGUUGGAGAGAGAGUUGUUGUAUAUCCUGCUUGGCAGUUGUUUUUCAUCAUUAUCUUCACUGCCGUUGUGAUCUUCACUUAUAUCUUGCUGUCAAGAGCUACUUAGUAUCCUUCAUUGAUGCUAGUUGUGCUACGCCGUGACCUUAUUAGUGUUCUAGGCUCGCGUCUCUAGUCCGGUCUAGCCUAGGACCAGCACAGUACCGUCGUUGAGCGUUUAUUCAACAUUGCAUCUUUGAAUUGAUUAUUGCUAAUCUUUUGCUACCAUAUAUAGCCAACCCAGCUCCACAUAUUUCUACACCGUGUAUACGUACGCUCCCCUGGCAAUCACUUUACUCAAUAUUCGGAGUUACUUGACACCGCUGGUUGCCGAUCACCGCCUGCUGCAUGGUAAAAACUUGUAAGACAUUGAUAUUUGCUUUACUGUGAGCGUUUUACCACCACAUCCUAGUAGUUAUAGGAACAUUAUUUUUGGGUUUUGUUUCUUGUUCUACUAAUCAUGACAGGAUCCAGAGUCAAUUCAUGGGCUUUGUCGAUCGCGGGAGACGUGCCACCACCUUUGCAAAUACCACAACCGUCACGAGAGGUGCACAAACAUCCAAAUGCACAUGAUCAGGUUAAUGUAUCUAUACCACCAUUUAAUAGCCGUUUUAAACCUGCUUUAUAUAUUGAAUGGGAGUUCGACAUAAAAAAUAUAUUUGCUUCCCAUAAUUUCAAUGAACAUAAAAAGGUUAAGGUUGCGGUUGGUUCUUUCACUGGUUAUGCUUUCGUUUGGUGGAGUGAAUAUUGUCGGUUACACCCUGAUUAUAUACCUACUACUUGGGAUGAUUUGAAACUUGCCAUGCGACAUACUUUCGUCCCUGCUUAUUAUACUCGUGACAUGAUUAAGAAGUUGCAACACUUAAAACAAGGUAGUGAAACUGUAACAAAAUAUUAUGAUGAUUUGCAAACUACCUUGUUGCAUUCCUCUUUAGAAGAAAGUGAAGAUGAUUUUAUGGAUAGAUUUUGGGGAGGAUUAAACCGUGAUAUUCAAGAGAUACUAAUUCAUGAAGAGUGUUAUCCUAUGGACCAUUUGUUUCAUCUUGCUUGCAAAGCUGAACAGGAAAUAAAACGACGUGUUGGCCACGAGGAGAACAAGCGCACGGUGCACAUUCCAAGAGUUGAUAUGAUUGUUCCUUCAACUACUAGGCAUACUAUGACAACCACAUCCGUUGUUGUCAGGACUACAUCACCUCCACCAUGUGACACAUCGCCCCCGAGAGUGGCUACAUCAUCUGAGUUGAUCAUAAGAGGUAAUGACAAAGGUACUGAUCUUCCAUCUCUACAUGAGAAUGAUGAAUGCCUUGUCAAUUUGAAUGCACCAUCUGAUGAGCUACCCACUACUUUGAUCACACCUCCUAUUUUUGAGGACUACGUUGAUAAUUUGACUUUGCCAUGUGAUCAAACAACUGAAAUACCAACAAUUUUGAGUGCACCCAUUGAAUUAACUAUUGAUGCAAAAGAACCAAUGUUUAAUCAUUUUGAUAUGACCUCUAAUCUUGGUGAUGAUUCUGUGUUGAAUGACUUAUUGCAUGUUUGCUUAUUUAAGCAUGUUCUAGCAUGUAAAUUUGAUGCAAGUAAGGUUUAUUCACCAAUGUUGGGAUGGUUUAAUGAUGAACAUUGUCAAUCUUUUGAAAUGAAUAAGAGCUUCACUUAUAUGUGCAAACUGAGUUGCAAUAUUUUCAUGCCUUCUACUUCUUGUGCUAAUUUUUUGGCUUUAGAUUUUAUGAACUAUGCAAGUUACUCAUCUAUUCAUGUGUCAUAUAUGCAAAAAUCAAGGGAAGUAAAAAUGGAUGACAUAUACAUAUACAACAUGUACACCUUGUCUCUUUUGUUAGCCACAUUUCAGAUUAAGCAACGCCGAGGACGGCUUUAUUUUCAAGAAGGGGAGGAUGAUGAGGACAUGACUACCUUGGAUAUGACCAAAAAUAUUGCAUAUAUGCAUAUUUGUCAGGUGAUUUCUAGUGCAAACUAUUCAAUAAUCUAUUUAUGUUAUCCAGAACAAAAAUACUUCACACACUUUUGUGUUUUGUCUAAUUGCAGGUGUAUGGGACAUUUGUACAAUCCACAUAUGAAGAUAAGGAAGAAAGAGAUGUUUAUUUGCUGUCCAAAAAGUUCUCUCACGUCACUUUUGGCCCAAGAGAAGAUAGAGUCCAAGUGAUAGAGGCAAAGGUGUCCCGUCUUUCGAUGAGAUGGUGGAUUUCGCUUUGGUGGAAGUCGACUUUGACGAUCCGACUACGAACGUGCGAGGACGUCGCGCCUUAGCAAUCGCUAAACCAACUCCGAGAGGUUAUUGACCACGCCGGAGCACGAUCAACCUGACCACGAGGGUCUGUUUCCUGCGAGCAAACGAAGAACAAGCAAGAAACUGAGAUUGCAAUCUGGAUAUUGCGAAUAUAAGAUGAAAGCUUUAUUGAUCAAGGUGGGGUUCUGUGACGCCUUUGUCUGGUCGUUGAACACAAACGAAGUACGCGAAGUUGCAGCUAUGGCGAACUUUUAAUCUAAACAAAACCCAAAGUCUAAACGAUGCCUAAGGGCUGUAUAUAUGGAGGAAGAGGGGGGAAUUUCGUGGCCCUUGGUGGAGGGGUCCGAAAUCAACCCUAUCUCUUGUUUCCCCACACAUACGGACUCUAAAAAUAGCCUAUACUUAUGUAUUUCGAAAUUACAUGGGCCUGGCCCAAUAAUAAGGUGACGCAGCACCUAAAAUAGCCUCGGGACGAAAUUUAUGAAGUGGCAUCUUGUAUAUUUCGUCCAAGGCUUCAUGCACCCAUUAUGGUGGCUUCAAAGUCCUGGAAUCAUCACUUGUAACUCCGUUCUUGUUCCCCUUGCGCAUGCCAUCAUCUCCAUGCUUGUUCUUGCUCCAAUGUUCAUCCUUCUCCAAGGUAGGCCCUUCAUUUGUAAGCAAAACAAAUGUAUCCAAUUUAGGCAGCAUCAUAUUCUCAUGAACAUUAGAAUCAUUACCAAGAAACGAAAGUACCUGGUAAUUUAGUUGGCGUGCACGAGCUCUAGUAAUUGGUCCAGUAUGUAUAGCAGCAGGGGCUGUGGGUGUAACAAUUGUAUUGAUGUCCUCAUCAGAAUUGAUUAUUGCUAAUCUUUUGCUACCAUAUAUAGCCAACCCAGCUCCACAUAUUUCUACACCGUGUAUACGUACGCUCCCCUGGCAAUCGCUUUACUCAAUAUUCGGAGUUACUUGACACCGCUGGUUGCCGAUCACCGCCUGCUGCAUGGUAAGAACUUGUAAGACAUUGAUAUUUGCUUUACUGUGAGCGUUUUACCACCACAUCCUAGUAGUUAUAGGAACAUUAUUUUUGGGUUUUGUUUCUUGUUCUACUAAUCAUGACAGGAUCCAGAGUCAAUUCAUGGGCUUUGUCGAUCGCGGGAGACGUGCCACCACCUUUGCAAAUACCACAACCGUCACGAGAGGUGCACAAACAUCCAAAUGCACAUGAUCAGGUUAAUGUAUCUAUACCACCAUUUAAUGGCCGUUUUAAACCUGCUUUAUAUAUUUAAUGGGAGUUCGACAUAAAAAAUAUAUUUGCUUCCCAUAAUUUCAAUGAACAUAAAAAGGUUAAGGUUGCGGUUGGUUCUUUCACUGGUUAUGCUUUGGUUUGGUGGAGUGAAUAUUGUCGGUUACACCCUGAUUAUAUACCUACUACUUGGGAUGAUUUGAAACUUGCCAUGCGACAUACUUUCGUCCCUGCUUAUUAUACUCGUGACAUGAUUAAGAAGUUGCAACACUUAAAACAAGGUAGUGAAACUGUAACAAAAUAUUAUGAUGAUUUACAAACUACCUUGUUGCAUUCCUCUUUAGAAGAAAGUGAAGAUGAUUUUAUGGAUAGAUUUUGGGGAGGAUUAAACUGUGAUAUUCAAGAGAUACUAAUUCAUGAAGAGUGUUAUCCUAUGGACCAUUUGUUUCAUCUUGCUUGCAAAGCUGAACAGGAAAUAAAACGACGUGUUGGCCACGAGGAGAACAAGCGCACGGUGCACAUUCCAAGAGUUGAUAUGAUUGUUCCUUCAACUACUAAGCAUACUAUGACAACCACAUCCGUUGUUGUCAGGACUACAUCACCUUCACCAUGUGACACAUCGCCCCCGAGAGUGGCUACAUCAUCUGAGUUGAUCAUAAGAGGUAAUGACAAAGGUACUGAUCUUCCAUCUCUACAUGAGAAUGAUGAAUGCCUUGUCAAUUUGAAUGCACCAUCUGAUGAGCUACCCACUACUUUGAUCACACCACCUAUUUUAGAGGACUACGUUGAUAAUUUGACUUUGCCAUGUGAUCAAACAACUGAAAUACCAACAAUUUUGAGUGCACCCAUUGAAUUAACUAUUGAUGCAAAAGAACCAAUGUUUAAUCAUUUUGAUAUGACCUCUAAUCUUGGUGAUGAUUCUGUGUUGAAUGACUUAUUGCAUGUUUGCGUAUUUAAGCAUGUUGUAGCAUGUAAAUUUGAUGCAAGUAAGGUUUAUUCACCAAUGUUGGGAUGGUUUAAUGAUGAACAUUGUCAAUCUUUUGAAAUGAAUAAGAGCUUCACUUAUAUGUGCAAACUGAGUUCCAAUAUUUUCAUGCCUUCUACUUCUUGUGCUAAUUUUUUGGCUUUAGAUUUUAUGAACUAUGCAAGUUACUCAUCUAUUCAUGUGUCAUAUAUGCAAAAAUCAAGGGAAGUAAAAAUGGAUGACAUAUACAUAUACAACAUGUACACCUUGUCUCUUUUGUUAGCCACAUUUCAGAUUAAGCAACGCUGAGGACGGCUUUAUUUUCAAGAAGGGGAGGAUGAUGAGGACAUGACUACCUUGGAUAUGACCAAAAAUAUUGCAUAUAUGCAUAUUUGUCAGGUGAUUUCUAGUGCAAACUAUUCAAUAAUCUAUUUAUGUUAUCCAGAACAAAAAUACUUCACACACUUUUGUGUUUUGUCUAAUUGCAGGUGUAUGGGACAUUUGUACAAUCCACAUAUGAAGAUAAGGAAGAAAGAGAUGUUUAUUUGCUAUCCAAAAAGUUCUCUCACGUCACUUUUGGCCCAAGAGAAGAUAGAGUCCAAGUCUCUCACGUUCUGGAUUCAGAUUCGGACUGCACAGACACACCUGAGUCAAAACGCACACAUGUUUUUCAUACGGACUCCGAAUUGGGUGAUUCUUUUUUUGUUGGAAACUAGAUUUCGUGCACUUUCCAACCCAAUUGGAAUCACCUUCAAAUUCGUCCGGAGCGUUGAGUUGUGGACGAAACAAUCUGAUGCUGCAGCAGAAUCCGAGUCAAACCCAUUGGCCUUGUACGACCUAGAUUUAGUUUUAGGCUGCCUCGGGACGUCCUCCCACCUCCUUGGCCGCCACCCCUUGCUCCUAUAUAAGUAGAUCCAUCUAGUAGCUUUUCCUUGGGAUUUGUUUAGUUAAAAGUUAGCCAUUGCAACUUCGUGUACUUCGUUUGUGUCCAACGACCAGACCAAGACCGCUUACGGAUCCCCACCAUUAUCAAUACCUCAUAUAUAUUUGCAGUAUUCAGAUUGCUUUAUCAUAUUCUUGCUCGUUCUUCGAUUGCUUGCAGGAAUAGACCUUCGUGGUCAGGCUGACCGUGCUUCCGGCAUCGUCAGUAACCUCAGGAGAUUGGUUUAGUGAUUGCUAAGGCGCAACGUCGUGCACGUUUGUAGUCGGAUCGUCAAAGUCGACUUCCACCAAAUCGAUAGUUAUCAUCUCAUCGAAAGAUCGGGACACCUCUGCCUCUAUCAAUAGGCUAUUUUUAGAGUCCGUAUGUGUGGGGAAACAAGAGAUAGGGUUGAUUUCGGACCCCUCCACCAAGGGCCACGAAAUUCCCCCCUCUUCCUCCAUAUAUACAGCCCUUAGGGCAUCGUUUAGACUUUGGGUUUUGUUUAGAUUAAAAGUUCGCCAUAGCUGCAACUUCGCGUACUUCGUUUGUGUUCAACGACCAGACAAAGGCGUCACAGAACCCCACCUUGAUCAAUAAAGCUUUCAUAUUAUAUUCGCAAUAUCCAGAUUGCAAUCUUAGUUUCUUGCUUGUUCUUCGUUUGCUCGCAGGAAACAGACCCUCGUGGUCAGGUUGAUCGUGCUCCGGCGUGGUCAAUAACCUCUCGGAGUUGGUUUAGCGAUUGCUAAGGCGCGACGUCCUCGCACGUUCGUAGUCGGAUCGUCAAAGUCGACUUCCACCAAAGCGAAAUCCACCAUCUCAUCGAAAGACGGGACACCUUUGCCUCUAUCAAGUGGUAUCAGAUUUCCAGGUUGCUCGGUGAGAUUUUACAGUAUUUCGUAGUUUAGAUCGAGUCUGUUCUUCAUACCUACAGUCCACGAAAAAGCCACAAAAAAAAUUUAGGGUUAGUUCAUCAUAUCCGAACCAAUCUGAGCCUUUGCAUAAUCUUUUUAGGGUUUUGCUUUGUUGAAUUUGCGGUUGCAUCGUCGUGUCUAGUUGCUGGUCUUAGAGUCUAGUCUUUUAGAGUUUCGAGUUCUGGUCAUAAGUUGUCACGCCGCCGCCGCACCAUCAUCAUCGCCCCUGCCAUCUACCACCACCACUUAUCCGCCACCGCUCCGAAUCCGUAUCCAUAUACCACCACCGAUUCAUAUACCACCACCGAUUCAUAUCCAUAUCCAUAUACUACCACCGCUACCACCACCGCUGCCAUAUACCACCACCAUAUAUCCACCACCAAUCCGAGUUCCUUGCAUAUUAGGUUUGUUUUCGAGAUCCAUCUAGAUUCCGAUUCGUGUUUCCUUGCCGGAGUCGGGUAGCCACGCUCCGUUUAGGCCCAAAAUUUUUCGAAAACGCAUUUUUCGAAAAAAAUUCUGGCUAUACUAUUUUUAGGUGUUUCUGAGUGUUUUGAGACAGGUGCCAUUAUAGGAAGUUUUUUUUGACUUGUUUCCAGUUUUUGGGUCCGGGCAGCCGAAAAAAAAAAAUUGGUCGAAAAAAAAAAUUUCGUGCCCAUCCUGUCAGUUUGACCUAGGAAGAGUUUUGAGACACUCGCCAUCAUAGUGAUUUUUCGCAAAAAAAAAGCAGCGCAAAAAAAAAGAGCGCGAAAAAAAAGAGCGGAAAAAAAAAUCAGAGUGUGCUUUUCCCUUGUUUACGUGCCGCGCCGUGAUUUUGUUGGUGUUCUAGGCUCGCGUCUCUAGCACAGUCUAGCCUAGGACCAGCACAGUACCGUCGUUGAGCGUUUAUUCAACUUUGCAUCUCUGAAUUGAUUAUUGCUGACCCUUUUUGCUACCAUACUAUAAGCCUUCCCAGCUCCACAUACAUCUACGUCGUGUGUUUGACUCUCCCUGGUAAUCGCUCUAUCCAAGCUUUGAGAGUUUUUGACUACAACGGUUGCCGAUCACCGCCUGCUGCUGGGUAAGAACUGGUAAGAAUUUGAGAUUUGCUUGACGGAUUUGUGAUACACCACCACCACUUCUUAGUAGUCUGUAGGAUCAUAUUCUUGUGUGUUUCUAUUGCUGCUAACCAUGCCAGGAUCACAAGCCGACGAGAUUGACUGGGAGAACUUAUCGAACAAGGAGCUUCAUGAUAAGUUUCAGCAAAUGAUGACUGAACAGGUAAAAGAUGUGCUGAACAAUUUUGAAGAGGCCAUGGAGAAGAUCACUGGCCUUGAGAAGACGUUCGAAACAAAGCUCGAUAACCGAUUUAAUGAACUGCUUGCGCGUCUUCCACCACCGGCUGCACCUGUCGCACCUCUGCAACAACAACAAUUACGCCCCCUUCCGAAUCAGUAUGGACGAGCACAGCGUGUUCCUAUUGUGCCAGGACAAAAUUCUGGUGCCGCUGUUACUGCUGUUGGUGUUUCUUUGGCUCCUGCUACUGCUCCUGCUGGUACCCAGGAGGAUGAUGAGUAUGCGGGCGAUUAUGAGGAUGAGGUUGAUCAAAAUCAGAUCUACGAGCAGCCACCAGCACCAUCACCAGCAGGUCGACCUCAGGUAUAUAUUCGUAAUGGUAGGCCUGCACCACCACCUCAGGUACGAGAUGAUGUCCAUAUUCCUAAACUGAAAUUGAAUAUUCCACCAUUUGAGGGUAGAUAUGUUCCUGAUAUAUAUCUUACUUGGGAGUUAGAAACUGAACAACGAUUUACAUGUUUACAAUAUCCUGAGGAGAGACGAGUUGCUGCUGCUGUUUGUGCUUUCACUAGUUUUGCAUGUGUAUGGUGGUCUGAACAUUGUAGAUUAUAUCCUAUUCCAACUACUUGGGCUGCUUUGAAAACUGCUAUGCGUACGCGUUGGGUUCCACCAUAUUAUCAACGUGAAUUGCUUCAAAAAUUGCAGCGUUUAAGACAAGGAAAAAAAUCUGUAGAAGAAUAUUAUCAGGAAUUACAAACUGGCAUGAUUAGAUGUGGUAUUGUUGAGGAGAAUGAAGCUAUGCUUGCACGUUUUCUUGGUGGAUUAAAUAGAGAGAUUCAGACCAUUCUAGACUAUAAGGAGUAUACUAAUAUCACUCGUUUAUUCCAUCUUGCUUGUAAAGCUGAACGUGAAGUGCAGGAUCGACAAGCAUUGGGGCGAACUAACUUUUCUGCAGGCCGACCUUCAUCAUGGACACCACGUGCAUCUUCUACUUCAACUGCACCAGCACCUCCAUCCGGUGCCACCUCCAGCCGUGAUACAAGAAAACAGGCACAACCACCAUUAUCUGCCAAGAGCGCACCUGCGGGGCCUGCACAGCGUUCUUCUUCUUCCAUGGCAUCAACAGGGCACACAAGUGAUAUUAUUUGUCGUCGUUGUAAGGGAGGAGGUCAUUAUGCGAGAGAAUGCAAAUCUCCGCGUGUGAUGAUUGCUAUCGCGGAUGGUGGAUAUGAGUCUGCUAGUGACUAUGAUGAGGAGACUUUGGCUCUUAUUACACGUGAAGAACAUGGUGGAGAUGAUUCUAAUCAUGAGACGCAAUACAUGGCUCCUGAAGACGCUGACAUGUAUGAAUGUUUAGUUGCUCAACGUGUUUUGAGUGUGCAGGUCACACAAGCUGAGCAAAAUCAGAGGCACAAUUUGUUCCAUACCAAGGGAGUUGUGAAGGAACGUUCUGUGCGCGUCAUCAUAGACGGAGGGAGCUGCAACAACUUGGCUAGCAUGGAGAUGGUGGAGAAGCUUUCUCUCACCACAAGACCACAUCCACAUCCUUACUACAUCCAAUGGUUCAACAACAGCGGCAAGGUUAAGGUAACACGUACUGUUCGUGUGCAUUUUAGUAUCUCUACAUAUGCUGAUUAUGUUGAUUGUGAUGUGGUACCUAUGCAAGCAUGUUCCUUAUUACUUGGUAGACCAUGGCAAUUUGAUAAAAAUUCUGUACACCAUGGUAGAAACAAUCACUAUACACUUGUUCAUAAGGAUAAAAAUAUUACUUUGCUUCCUAUGACUCCUGAUUCCAUUUUGAAAGAUGAUAUUAAUAGAGCUAAUAAAGCACAACAGGAGAAGAAUAAGAGUGAAAAUCAGAUUGUGGCAAAAGAAUUUGAGCAACAAAUGAAGCCUAAUAAUAAACCAUCUAGUGUUGCUUCUGAAAUUAAAUUGAAAAGUGCAUGUUUAUUUGCCACCAAAUCUGAUAUUGAUGAGCUAGAUUUCAGCAAAUCUGUUUGCUAUGCUUUUGUGUGCAAAGAGGCAUUAUUUUCAUUCGAGGACGUGCCUUCCUCUUUGCCUCCUGCUGUCACUAACAUUUUGCAGGAGUUCGCUGACAUUUUUCCACAAGACGUGCCACCGGGAUUACCGCCUAUUCGAGGGAUUGAGCAUCAGAUUGACUUAAUUCCCGGUGCUUCACUGCCAAAUCGUGCACCAUACCGUACCAAUCCAGAGGAGACGAAGGAGAUUAUGCGUCAAGUACAAGAGCUUCUCGACAAAGGUUAUAUACGCGAAUCCCUUAGUCCUUGUGCUGUUCCUAUUAUUCUAGUGCCGAAAAAGGAUGGUACAUCACGUAUGUGUGUUGAUUGUAGAGGCAUUAAUAAUAUUACUAUUCGUUAUCGUCAUCCUAUUCCUAGGCUAGAUGAUAUGCUUGAUGAAUUGAGUGGCUCUACAAUAUUCUCCAAAGUUGAUUUGCGUAGUGGCUACCAUCAAAUUCGUAUGAAAUUGGGAGAUGAAUGGAAAACAACAUUUAAAACUAAGUUUGGAUUAUAUGAGUGGUUAGUCAUACCUUUUGGGUUAACUAAUGCACCUAGUACUUUCAUGAGAUUAAUGAACGAAGUUUUACGUGCUUUCAUUGGACGAUUUGUGGUAGUUUACUUUGAUGACAUAUUGAUUUAUAGCAGAUCUAUGGAAGAACAUUUGGAACAUUUACGUGUUGUUUUUAUUGCUCUACGUGAUGCACGUUUGUUUGGUAACCUUGGGAAGUGCACCUUUUGCACCGACCGAGUAUCUUUUCUUGGCUAUGUUGUUACUCCACAGGGAAUUGAAGUUGAUAAAGCCAAGAUUGAAGCUAUUGAGAGUUGGCCGCAGCCCAAAACGGUCACACAAGUGAGGAGUUUUCUUGGCCUCGCUGGAUUCUAUAGGCGUUUUGUGAGAGAUUUCAGCACCAUUGCUGCACCUCUCAAUGAGCUUACAAAGAAAGAUGUGCCUUUUCUUUGGGGUACUGCACAGGAAGAAGCCUUCACGGUAUUGAAAGAUAAGUUGACACAUGCUCCUUUACUCCAACUUCCUGAUUUUAAUAAGACUUUUGAGCUUGAAUGUGAUGCUAGUGGAAUUGGAUUAGGAGGUGUGUUAUUACAAGAUGGCAAACCUGUGGCAUACUUUUCUGAAAAAUUGAGUGGGCCUAGUCUGAAUUAUUCUACUUAUGAUAAAGAAUUAUAUGCUCUUGUUCGGACUUUAGAAACAUGGCAACAUUAUUUAUGGCCCAAAGAAUUUGUUAUACAUUCUGAUCAUGAAUCUUUGAAACAUAUUAAAAGUCAAGCUAAACUGAAUCGUAGACAUGCUAAAUGGGUUGAAUUCAUUGAGACUUUCCCUUAUGUCAUUAAACACAAGAAGGGAAAAGAAAAUGUUAUUGCUGAUGCAUUGUCUCGUCGCUAUACUAUGCUUUCACAACUUGACUUCAAAAUAUUUGGUUUAGAGACCAUCAAAGAUCAAUAUGUGCAUGAUGCUGAUUUUAAAGAUGUAAUGCAUAAUUGUAAAGAAGGAAGAAUGUGGAACAAGUUUGUUGUUAACGAUGGAUUUGUGUUUCGUGCUAACAAGCUAUGCAUUCCAGCUAGCUCCGUUCGUCUUUUGUUGUUGCAGGAGGUGCAUGGAGGAGGAUUAAUGGGACACUUUGGCGUGAAGAAGACGGAGGACGUACUUGCUACACAUUUAUUUUGGCCAAAGAUGAGACGGGAUGUUGAGCGUUUUAUUGCUCGCUGCACUACAUGUCAAAAAGCUAAGUCACGACUCAAUCCUCAUGGUUUAUAUAUGCCUUUGCCUGUACCUAGUGUUCCUUGGGAGGAUAUAUCUAUGGACUUUGUUUUAGGUUUACCUCGAACAAAGAAGGGGGGGGGAUAGCAUAUUUGUUGUCGUGGAUAGAUUCUCGAAAAUGGCACACUUUAUACCAUGUCAUAAAAGCGAUGAUGCUGUUAAUGUUGCUGAUUUGUUCUUUCGUGAAAUUAUUCGUUUGCAUGGUGUGCCAAAUACUAUUGUUUCAGAUCGUGAUACUAAAUUUCUUAGCCACUUUUGGAGAUGUUUAUGGGCUAAGUUGGGGACUAAACUGCUUUUUAGUACUACUUGUCACCCCCAAACUGAUGGACAAACUGAAGUAGUCAAUAGAACAUUGUCUACUAUGCUUAGGGCUGUUUUGAAGAAUAAUAAGAAAAUGUGGGAGGAAUGCUUGCCUCAUAUUGAAUUUUCUUAUAAUCGUUCAUUGCAUUCUACUACUAAGAUGUGCCCUUUUGAAGUUGUGUAUGGUUUCCUACCCCGUGCACCUAUUGAUUUGUUGCCUCUUCCAUCUUCGGAGAAGGUUAAUUUUGAUGCUAAACAACGUGCUGAAUUGAUUUUAAAAAUGCAUGAGUUAACUAAGGAAAACAUUGAGCGAAUGAAUGCUAAAUAUAAACUUGCUGGAGAUAAGGGUAGAAAACAUGUUGUGUUUGCACCUGGAGAUCUUGUUUGGUUACAUUUGCGUAAGGAUAGAUUUCCUGAUUUGCGCAAAUCAAAGUUAAUGCCACGUGCUGAUGGUCCCUUUAAGGUGUUAGAGAAAAUAAAUGAUAAUGCAUAUAAACUUGAGCUGCCUGCAGAUUUUGGGGUUAGUCCCACUUUUAACAUUGCAGAUUUGAAGCCUUAUUUGGGUGAGGAAGAUGAACUUCCGUCGAGGACGACUUCAUUUCAAGAAGGGGAGGAUGAUGAGGACAUCAAUACAAUUGUUACACCCACAGCCCCUGCUGCUAUACAUACUGGACCAAUUACUAGAGCUCGUGCACGUCAACUAAAUUACCAGGUACUUUCGUUUCUUGGUAAUGAUUCUAAUGUUCAUGAGAAUAUGAUGCUGCCUAAAUUGGAUACAUUUGUUUUGCUUACAAAUGAAGGGCCUAGCUUGGAGAAGGAUGAACAUUGGAGCAAGAACAAGAAUGGAGUUACAAGUGAUGAUUUCAGGACUUUGAAGCCACCAUAAUGGGUGCAUGAAGCCUUGGACGAAAUAUACAAGAUGCCACUUCAUAAAUUUCGUCCCGAGGCUAUUUUAGGUGCUGCGUCACCUUAUUAUUGGGCCAGGCCCAUGUAAUUUCGAAAUACAUAAGUAUAGGCUAUUUUUAGAGUCCGUAUGUGUGGGGAAACAAGAGAUAGGGUUGAUUUCGGACCCCUCCACCAAGGGCCACGAAAUUUCCCCCUCUUCCUCCAUAUAUACAGCCCUUAGGGCAUCGUUUAGACUUUGGGUUUUGUUUAGAUUAAAAGUUCGCCAUAGCUGCAACUUCGCGUACUUCGUUUGUGUUCAACGACCAGACAAAGGCGUCACAGAACCCCACCUUGAUCAAUAAAGCUUUCAUCUUAUAUUCGCAAUAUCCAGAUUGCAAUCUUAGUUUCUUGCUUGUUCUUCGUUUGCUCGCAGGAAACAGACCCUCGUGGUCAGGUUGAUCGUGCUCCGGCGUGGUCAAUAACCUCUCGGAGUUGGUUUAGCGAUUGCUAAGGCGCGACGUCCUCGCACGUUCGUAGUCGGAUCGUCAAAGUCGACUUCCACCAAAGCGAUAUCCAUCAUCUCAUCGAAAGACGGGACACCUUUGCCUCUAUCAAGGGGUUGUGGGUGUAACAAUGGUAUUGAUGUCCUCAUCAGCCGGACUAUAUCCUUUGGCCGGACUGUUGGACUAUGAAGAUACAAGAUUGAAGAGUUCGUCUCGUGUCCGUAUAGGACUCUACUUGGCGUGGAAGGCAAGCUAGGCAGUACGGAUAUGUAUAUCUCCUCCUUUGUAACCGACCUUGUGUAACCCUAGCCCCCUCUGGUGUCUAUAUAAACCGGAGGGUUUUAGUCCGUAGGACAACAGACAAUCAUACCAUGGGCUAGCUUCUAGGGUUUAGCCUCUCCGAUCUCAUGGUAGAUCAACUCUUGUAAUACUCAUAUCAUCAAGAAUAAACCAAGCAGGACGUAGGGUUUUACCUCCAUCAAGAGAGCCCGAACCUGGGUAAAACAUCGUGUCCCCUGCCUCCUGUUACCAUCCGCCUUAGACGCACAGUUCGGGACCCCCUACCCGAGAUCCGCCGGUUUUGACACCGACAUUGGUGUUUUCAUUGAGAGUUCCUUUGUGUCGUCGUCGUUAGGCUUGAUGGCUCCUACUAUCAUCGAUAGAGAUGCAGUCCAGGGUGAGACUUUUCUCCCCGAACAAAUCUUUGUGUUCGGCGGCUUCGCACUGCGGGCCAACUCGCUUGGCCAUCUGGAGCAGAUCGAAAGUUACACCCCUGGCCACCAGGUCAGGUUUGGAAGCUUAAAUUACACAGCCGAUAUCCAUGGAGACUUGAUCUUCGACGGAUGCGAGCCCCUACCUUGUGCACCACGCGGCCGCGAUGAGUAUGAUUUAGCUCUAGCAUCGGACCGUAUUCGGGAGAUCGUACCGGCAGCCGCUCCGAGCCUCAAUUCGGAGCCAGUUGCGCCAUCCAUGGACGGGUGGAUAGACCCCAUCAUGGAGGCCGUAUCCUCAGCGGCGAUCGAGCCGAAUAUCGACCUUACCCUUCACGAGAGUCAUGUUGCCAAAUUGCCGGACCCUUCUCCGGCCACGGACUCCGAACCGCCUGCGCCCGUUCCUAUCGAAUCCGAUUGGGCGCCGAUCAUGGAGUUUACCUUCGCGGAUAUUUUUCAGCACUCGCCCUUCGACGACAUACGGAACUCAUUAAGGUCUCUCUCCUUGUCAGGAGGAUCCUGUCCGAACUAUGUCCGGCAGGAUUGGGAUGCGGAUGACGAAGAAAUUCGCCGCCCACCCACCACCCACUUAGAAGCCACUGUCGACGACUUAACCGACAUGCUUGACUUCGACUUCGAAGACAUCAACGGUAUGGACGACGAUGCGGGAGACGAAGAGGAACCACUGCCCACAGGGCACUGGACAGCCACCUCAUCAUACGAUAUAUACAUGGUGGACACACCCAAAGAAGGCAAUGUCGACGAGACAACGGAGGAUGACCCCUCCAAGAAGCAACCCAAGCGCCGGCGUCAGCGGCGCCGCUCUAAGUCCCGCCAAGGCAAAAGCAGUGAUACCGGCACAGGAGAUAAUAGCACUCCGGACAGUGCCGAAGACGGCAACAAUCCCCUCCAGCAAGAUUUAGGGCAGGAGGAUGGAGAAGCCAGCCCUCCAGAGAGAGCGGCAGAUAGAGAGGCGGAGGAUGAUAAUUACAUGCCUCCAUCCGAAGACGAGGCAAGCCUCAACGAUGACGAAUUCGUCGUGCCUAAGGAUCCCGUCGAACAAGAGCGCUUCAAGAGCCGGCUUAUAGCCACAACAAAUAGCCCUAAGAAAAAGCAACAACAGCUUCAAGCUGAUCAAGAUUUGCUAGCCGACAAAUGGACCGAAGUCCUUGCGGCCGAGGAAUAUAAACUCGAACGUCCCUCCAAGAGUUACCCAAAGCGUAGGUUGCUACCCCGACUGGAGGAGGAAGCAUUCAAACCCACAUCUCCAGCACAUGAUGCGGCUGACCGGCCACCUCGUGGUCGUGACAGAGAGGCAUUUCAGCCAAAAGCUCAGUCUGCACUCCAACGCCACUCACAUAAAAACAUCAAGGCAUGGGGAAAUACGCCAGACCUAUGAGACGUAUUGGAGGACAAAGCAAAACAUGCAAGAUCGAUCCACGGAUCACGAGGGCGCGCCACUAUGCAAGACGAUAAUCGUCACGCCGGAUACAGUAAAAGUAAGUCUGCCCGGGCCAAACACAGCAGGCAAGACUCAUUCGAGUUGCGUCGCGACAUAGCCCAGUACAGAGGCGCCGCACACCCCCUAUGCUUCACAGACGAAGUAAUGGAUCAUCAAAUCCCAAAGGGUUUCAAACCUGUAAAUAUAGAAUCAUACGACGGCACAAUAGAUCCUGCGGUAUGGAUCGAGGAUUUCCUCCUGCAUAUCCACAUGGCCUGCGGUGAUGAUCUACACGCCAUUAAAUACCUCCCACUCAAGCUCAAAGGACCAGCUCGACAUUGGCUCAAUAGCUUGCCAGCAGAGUCCAUUGGCUGUUGGGAGGACCUGGAAGCCGCAUUCCUCGACAACUUCCAGGGCACUUACGUGCGACCACCAGAUGUCGAUGACUUGAGCCACAUAAUUCAGCUGCCAGAGGAAUCGGCCAGGCAAUUCUGGACUCAGUUCCUAACAAAGAAAAAUCAAAUCGUCGACUGUCCGGAUGCAGAGGCCCUAGCAGCUUUUAAGCACAACAUCUGCGACGAGUGGCUCGCCCGGCACCUUGGUCAGGAAAAGCCGAAAUCUAUGGCAGCCCUCACGACACUCAUGACCCGCUUUUGUGCGGGAGAAGACAGCUGGCUGGCUCGCAGCAAUAACAUAUCAAAAACCAUGGUACUUCGGAUACCAAGGAUGGCAAUGGAAGGUCACGUCGCAACAAACAUAAGCGCCGCAUUAACAGCGACAAUACCGAGGAUAUGGCAGUCAAUGCCGGAUUCAAAGGCUCUAAACCGGGUCAGCGGAAAAAGCCAUUCAAAAGAAGCACUCCGGGCCCGUCCAGUUUGGACCGUAUACUCGAUCGCUCGUGUGAAAUACACGGCACCCCCGACAAGCCAGCCAACCACACAAUAGGGAUUGUUGGGUGUUCAAGCAGGCCGGCAAAUUAAAUGCCGGAAACAAAGAUAAGGGGUCACAUAGCAAUGACGAGGAGGAGCCCCGGCAGCCGAACACCGGAUGAUGAGGACAUGACUACCUUGGAUAUGACCAAAAAUAUUGCAUAUAUGCAUAUUUGUCAGGUGAUUUCUAGUGCAAACUAUUCAAUAAUCUAUUUAUGUUAUCCAGAACAAAAAUACUUCACACACCUUUGUGUUUUGUCUAAUUGCAGGUGUAUGGGACAUUUGUACAAUCCACAUAUGAAGAUAAGGAAGAAAGAGAUGUUUAUUUGCUGUCCAAAAAGUUCUCUCACGUCACUUUUGGCCCAAGAGAAGAUAGAGUCCAAGUCUCUCACGUUCUGGAUUCAGAUUCGGACUGCACAGACAUACCUGACGCAAAACGCACACAAGUUUUUCAUACGGACUCCGAAUUGGGUGAUUCUUUUUUUGUUGGAAACUAGAUUUCGUGCUCUUUCCAAUCCAAUUGGAAUCACCUUCAAAUUCGUCCGGAGCGUUGAGUUGUGGACGAAACAAUCUGAUGCUGCAGCAGAAUCCGAGUCAAACUACAAGUCCAAAGGUGUUACAUCACCUCCACUUGGGCCCAUUGGCCUUGUACGACCUAGAUUUAGUUUUAGGCUGCCUUGGGACGUCCUCCCACCUCCUUGGCCGCCACCCCUUGCUCCUAUAUAAGUAGAUCCAUCUAGUAGCUUUUCCUUGGGUUUUGUUUAGAUUAAAAGUUCCCCAUAGCUGCAACUUCGCGUACUUCGUUUGUGUUCAACGACCAGACAAAGGCGUCACAGAACCCCACCUUGAUCAAUAAAGCUUUCAUCUUAUAUUCGCAAUAUCCAGAUUGCAAUCUCAGUUUCUUGCUUGUUCUUCGUUUGCUCGCAGGAAACAGACCCUCGUGGUCAGGUUGAUCGUGCUCCGGCGUGGUCAAUAACCUCUCGGAGUUGGUUUAGCGAUUGCUAAGGCGCGACGUCCUCGCACGUUCGUAGUCGGAUCGUCAAAGUCGACUGCCACCAAAGCGAUAUCCAUCAUCUCAUCGAAAGACGGGACACCACCACAUCCUAGUAGUUAUAGGAACAUUAUUUUUGGGUUUUGUUUCUUGUUCUACUAAUCAUGAUAGGAUCCAGAGUCAAUUCAUGGGCUUUGUCGAUCGCGGGAGACGUGCCACCACCUUUGCAAAUACCACAACCGUCACGAGAGGUGCACAAACAUCCAAAUGCACAUGAUCAGGUUAAUGUAUCUAUACCACCAUUUAAUGGCCGUUUUAAACCUGCUUUAUAUAUUGAAUGGGAGUUCGACAUAAAAAAUAUAUUUGCUUCCCAUAAUUUCGAUGAACAUAAAAAGGUUAAGGUUGCGGUUGGUUCUUUCACUGGUUAUGCUUUGGUUUGGUGGAGUGAAUAUUGUCGGUUACACCCUGAUUAUAUACCUAUUACUUGGGAUGAUUUGAAACUUGCCAUGCGACAUACUUUCGUCCCUGCUUAUUAUACUCGUGACAUGAUUAAGAAGUUGCAACACUUAAAACAAGGUAGUGAAACUGUAACAAAAUAUUAUGAUGAUUUACAAACUACCUUGUUGCAUUCCUCUUUAGAAGAAAGUGAAGAUGAUUUUAUGGAUAGAUUUUGGGGAGGAUUAAACAGUGAUAUUCAAGAGAUACUAAUUCAUGAAGAGUGUUAUCCUAUGGACCAUUUGUUUCAUCUUGCUUGCAAAGCUGAACAGGAAAUAAAACGACGUGUUGGCCACGAGGAGAACAAGCGCACGGUGCACAUUCCAAGAGUUGAUAUGAUUGUUCCUUCAACUACUAGGCAUACUAUGACAACCACAUCCGUUGUUGUCAGGACUACAUCACCUCCACCAUGUGACACAUCGCCCCCGAGAGUGGCUACAUCAUCUGAGUUGAUCAUAAGAGGUAAUGACAAAGGUACUGAUCUUCCAUCUCUACAUGAGAAUGAUGAAUGCCUUGUCAAUUUGAAUGCACCAUCUGAUGAGCUACCCACUACUUUGAUCACACCACCUAUUUUAGAGGACUACGCUGAUAAUUUGACUUUGCCAUGUGAUCAAACAACUGAAAUACCAACAAUUUUGAGUGCACCCAUUGAAUUAACUAUUGAUGCAAAAGAACCAAUGUUUAAUCAUUUUGAUAUGACCUGAUAGAGGCAGAGGUGUCCCGUCUUUCGAUGAGAUGAUGGAUAUCGCUUUGGUGGAAGUCGACUUUGACGAUCCGACUACGAACGUGCGAGGACGUCGCGCCUUAGCAAUCGCUAAACCAACUUCGAGAGGUUAUUGACCACGUCGGAGCACGAUCAACCUGACCACGAGGGUCUGUUUCCUGCGAGCAAACGAAGAACAAGCAAGAAACUAAGAUUGCAAUCUGGAUAUUGCGAAUAUAAGAUGAAAGCUUUAUUGAUCAAGGUGGGGUUCUGUGACGCCUUUGUCUGGUCGUUGAACACAAACGAAGUACGCGAAGUUGCAGCUAUGGCGAACUUUUAAUCUAAACAAAACCCAAAGUCUAAACGAUGCCCUAAGGGCUGUAUAUAUGGAGGAAGAGGGGGGGAAUUUCGUGGCCCUUGGUGGAGGUGUCCGAAAUCAACCCUAUCUCUUGUUUCCCCACACAUACGGACUCUAAAAAUAGCCUAUACUUAUGUAUUUCGAAAUUACAUGGGCCUGGCCCAAUAAUAAGGUGACGCAGCACCUAAAAUAGCCUCGGGACGAAAUUUAUGAAGUGGCAUCUUGUAUAUUUCGUCCAAGGCUUCAUGCACCCAUUAUGGUGGCUUCAAAGUCCUGGAAUCAUCACUUGUAACUCCGUUCUUGUUCCCCUUGCGCAUGCCAUCAUCUCCAUGCUUGUUCUUGCUCCAAUGUUCAUCCUUCUCCAAGGUAGGCCCUUCAUUUGUAAGCAAAACAAAUGUAUCCAAUUUAGGCAGCAUCAUAUUCUCAUGAACAUUAGAAUCAUUACCAAGAAACGAAAGUACCUGGUAAUUUAGUUGGCGUGCACGAGCUCUAGUAAUUGGUCCAGUAUGUAUAGCAGCAGGGGCUGUGGGUGUAACAAUUGUAUUGAUGUCCUCAUCAGAAUUGAUUAUUGCUAAUCUUUUGCUACCAUAUAUAGCCAACCCAGCUCCACAUAUUUCUACACCGUGUAUACGUACGCUCCCCUGGCAAUCGCUUUACUCAAUAUUCGGAGUUACUUGACACCGCUGGUUGCCGAUCACCGCCUGCUGCAUGGUAAGAACUUGUAAGACAUUGAUAUUUGCUUUACUGUGAGCGUUUUACCACCACAUCCUAGUAGUUAUAGGAACAUUAUUUUUGGGUUUUGUUUCUUGUUCUACUAAUCAUGACAGGAUCCAGAGUCAAUUCAUGGGCUUUGUCGAUCGCGGGAGACGUGCCACCACCUUUGCAAAUACCACAACCGUCACGAGAGGUGCACAAACAUCCAAAUGCACAUGAUCAGGUUAAUGUAUCUAUACCACCAUUUAAUGGCCGUUUUAAACCUGCUUUAUAUAUUGAAUGUGAGUUCGACAUAAAAAAUAUAUUUGCUUCCCAUAAUUUCGAUGAACAUAAAAAGGUUAAGGUUGCGGUUGGUUCUUUCACUGGUUAUGCUUUGGUUUGGUGGAGUGAAUAUUGUCGGUUACACCCUGAUUAUAUACCUACUACUUGGGAUGAUUUGAAACUUGCCAUGCGACAUACUUUCGUCCCUGCUUAUUAUACUCGUGACAUGAUUAAGAAGUUGCAACACUUAAAACAAGGUAGUGAAACUGUAACAAAAUAUUAUGAUGAUUUACAAACUACCUUGUUGCAUUACUCUUUAGAAGAAAGUGAAGAUGAUUUUAUGGAUAGAUUUUGGGGAGGAUUAAACCGUGAUAUUCAAGAGAUACUAAUUCAUGAAGAGUGUUAUCCUAUGGACCAUUUGUUUCAUCUUGCUUGCAAAGCUGAACAGGAAAUAAAACGACGUGUUGGCCACGAGGAGAACAAGCGCACGGUGCACAUUCCAAGAGUUGAUAUGAUUGUUCCUUCAACUACUAGGCAUACUAUGACAACCACAUCCGUUGUUGUCAGGACUACAUCACCUCCACCAUGUGACACAUCGCCCCCGAGAGUGGCUACAUCAUCUGAGUUGAUCAUAAGAGGUAAUGACAAAGGUACUGAUCUUCCAUCUCUACAUGAGAAUGAUGAAUGCCUUGUCAAUUUGAAUGCACCAUCUGAUGAGCUACCCACUACUUUGAUCACACCACCUAUUUUAGAGGACUAUGUUGAUAAUUUGACUUUGCCAUGUGAUCAAACAACUGAAAUACCAACAAUUUUGAGUGCACCCAUUGAAUUAACUAUUCAUGCAGAAGAACCAAUGUUUAAUCAUUUUGAUAUGACCUCUAAUCUUGGUGAUGAUUCUUUGUUGAAUGACUUAUUGUAUGUUUGCUUAUUUAAGCAUGUUGUAGCACGUAAAUUUGAUGCAAGUAAGAUUUAUUCACCAAUGUUGGGAUGGUUUAAUGAUGAACAUUGUCAAUCUUUUGAAAUGAAUAAGAGCUUCACUUAUAUGUGCAAACUGAGUUGCAAUAUUUUCAUGCCUUCUACUUCUUGUGCUAAUUUUUUGGCUUUAGAUUUUAUGAACCAUGCAAGUUACUCAUCUAUUCAUGUGUCAUAUAUGCAAAAAUCAAGGGAAGUAAAAAUGGAUGACAUAUAUAUAUACAACAUGUACACCUUGUCUCUUUUGUUAGCACAUUUCAGAUUAAGCAACGCCGAGGACGGCUUUAUUUUCAAGAAGGGGAGGAUGAUGAGGACAUGACUACCUUGGAUAUGACCAAAAAUAUUGCAUAUAUGCAUAUUUGUCAGGUGAUUUCUAGUGCAAACUAUUCAAUAAUCUAUUUAUGUUAUCCAGAACAAAAAUACUUCACACACUUUUGUGUUUUGUCUAAUUGUAGGUGUAUGGGACAUUUGUACAAUCCACAUAUGAAGAUAAGGAAGAAAGAGAUGUUUAUUUGCUGUCCAAAAAGUUCUCUCACGUCACUUUUGGCCCAAGAGAAGAUAGAGUCCAAGUCUCUCACGUUCUGAAUUCAGAUUCGGACUGCACAGACAUACCUUACUCAAAACGCACACAAGUUUUUCAUACGGACUCCGAAUUGGGUGAUUCUUUUUUUGUUGGAAUCUAGAUUUCGUGCACUUUCCAACCCAAUUGGAAUCACCUUCAAAUUCGUCCGGAGCGUCGAGUUGUGGACGAAACAAUCUGAUGCUGCAGCAGAAUCCGAGUCAAACUACAAGUCCAAAGGUGUUACAUCACCUCCACUUGGGCCCAUUGGCCUUGUACGACCUAGAUUUAGUUUUAGGCUGCCUUGGGACGUCCUCCCACCUCCUUGGCCGCCACCCCUUGCUCCUAUAUAAGUAGAUCCAUCUAGUAGCUUUUCCUUGGGUUUUGUUUAGAUUAAAAGUUCGCCAUAGCUGCAACUUCGCGUACUUCGUUUGUGUUCAACGACCAGACAAAGGCGUCACAGAACCCCACCUCGAUCAAUAAAGCUUUCAUCUUAUAUUCGCAAUAUCCAGAUUGCAAUCUCAGUUUCUUGCUUGUUCUUCGUUUGCUCGCAGGAAACAGACCCUCGUGGUCAGGUUGAUCGUGCUCCGGCGUGGUCAAUAACCUCUCGGAGUUGGUUUAGCGAUUGCUAAGGCGCGACGUCCUCGCACGUUCGUAGUCGGAUCGUCAAAGUCGACUGCCACCAAAGCGAUAUCCAUCAUCUCAUCGAAAGACGGGACACCUUUGCCUCUAUCACCGGAGGACAAAAGAGGUUCCCCCCCACAAGUACGGACGGUGAACAUGAUAUACGCAACCCACAUCCCCAAGAGGGAGCGGAAGCGUGCGCUCAGGGACGUAUAUGCGUUGGAGCCAGUCGCCCCAAAGUUCAACCCAUGGUCCUCCUGUCCGAUCACCUUCGAUCGCAGGGACCACCCCAGUAGUAUCCGUCAUGGCGGAUUUGUCGCACUGGUCCUAGACCCAAUCAUUGAUGGAUUUCACCUCACUCGAGUCCUAAUGGACGGCGGCAGCAGCCUGAACCUACUUUAUCAGUACACAGUGCGCAAAAUGGGUAUAAACCCCUCAAGGAUCAGACCCACAAAAACUACCUUUAAAGGUGUCAUACCAGGUGUAGAGGCCCAUUGCACAGGCUCAGUCACACUGGAAGUGGUCUUCGGAUCCGCGGAUAACUUCCGAAGCGAAGAGUUAAUCUUCGGCAUAGUCUCGUUCUGCAGUGGCUACCAUGCACUGCUCGGGCGAACCGCAUUUGCGAGAUUCAAUGCGGUACCGCAUUAUGCAUAUCUCAAGCUCAAGAUGCCAGGACCUCGGGGGGUCAUAACAGUCAAUGGAAACACAGAGCGCUCUCUUCGCACGGAGGAGCAUACUGCGGCCCUCGCAGCAGAAGCGCAAAGAAGCCUCUUAAGGCAAUCCACUAGUUCGGCGAUUAAGGACCCGGACACCUUCAAGCGCGCCCGGAGUAAUCAGCAACUGGACCGCCUGGCACGUUUCGAGCUCGCAUAGCAAUGCGGCCCCACCCCGGUCCCAGCCAAAGGGCGAAAUUCGUGCCACGCGUACAUAAUUACGCAUUAAAAAUACCAUGGGCAUAGGUGGGGAGGGGGGCACGACUACGGCUCGCCCCAAGACGCGGCUUCAACCGCACUAGGGGCUCCCGCUUUGUUAUUUUUCUCUUUCAGGACUUUAAUCUCUAGAAACCCUAUCCGGCAGCAUGAUUGCCGAACACAUGAUGCAGCAACCAAGGAGGCAGAAAGCUACGUCACACCACGGAACUCCCAGGUGGAUUACGAUAACGAGUGAAAUAUUUGCUUUAAUACUAUUCCUCAGCUUGCCCUUGGAAGGGACAUGUCAAACAGUCCUACUUUUUGCUUAUCACACUACUUGUAUCAUUCUGCUUUAACGCACCUUUUUGAAUAAACAAUGCAUAGCAUUAAGACUAUUAUUGCAUUCUUCCUUUACAUAUAUAUAUAGUAGCACUAUUCUAAUCCUUCUAAUCCCAGGAUUAGAAUAACUAUUUGGAUCACGAUCACCCCUAUAUAGGGCCCGAAGGAAAGUUCCAAAAAAAACCCACCCCACCUCUUGCUCCCCCCAAUGCCCCACCUCCCGCACCUCCUGCCCCAACGGCGACGCGCCCGCCGCCCCAUCCCCAACCGACGGCACCGCCGCCACCAACCCCCCAGCCAGAUAUGAGACCGCCGCCCCGACGCCCACCGGAGACGGCGCAUGCCCCAACCGGAGACGCCGCCGCCCCAAGAUCCCACCGCCGCCACCACCUGCGCUCAUCGCCAGCGUUGUGGUCCCAGCUUUCCUCGCCGCCGCCGCGCCCAGCCUCCCACGCGCUCGCGUCCUGCCUCUGCGCACCGCCACCCUACCUCCCGUGCGCCGCAGCCUGCCUCCGCACACCGCCGUCCCCCAUCCGGCCAUCCCACGUGCUAACUGGGUGGUGCCUGGGUUGAGGCAUCAGUCGAAGCAAUGACGGGAGGAGGUUGGGCAUGAGGGACGGGACGGUGCCUUGGGCUGACAGGACGCGACGGCGACUGCUUCAUAGAGGAGCCCGGGCACUUGCUCGAUGUCGUGCUUGUGCCUGAGGCGCCGGAUGAAUCUUAGUAGUUGAACUUCACACGCAUUGCAUCUGCGGCUCACCUCCUCCACAAGCGGCAGCUGCCUCCCCAUCCGUUUUCCACAACUAUUUUUUUGUAUUUGUGGGUGUUUGCAUCUACUAGUUCUCGGGAGCUCGCCUCAGAAAACUUGUUUUGCUGCUGCUGCUAUUUGCCGCUGCUGUUGCCGGCAUGAAAGGUCAGGGACAUGAUGGAAAAUUUUCCUUUGGUUCCCCCGCGGCAGUAGAGACGAAAACAGAAACUAUUUCUCCUGCUCGCCUUCGUCAAUGGCUGAUUCUUCUGCUGAAGUUCAGGUGGGCAACACAUCUUCAUAUAGUUCAGACUAAGAAAGUACGGAAGUUCAUUUAGUGGACACAACAUCAAAUCACUUUGGAGAGUACGUUGUUGAGCACUUCUCCAGCUAGAUUUGUUGUUUAUGCUCCUUAAAGCAGAUGAUUCCUCGUUGCUCAACUAUCGAAACUCUAUACUACAUUUUUUUGUAACUUCAGUUUUUUUCAGGCAAUUUUUUGUAACUUCGGUGUCGUGAGAGGAUGGACAUAUUCUGAAGAAGUACAUCAGUUCAUCCAGUGAACACAACAUCAAUGAACUUUGAAUAAAAACAGAAGUUAGGUGUGCUAGAGUAAUCACAGAGUUAAAAAUAAUAAGCAAAAAAGAGUUAAAAAAACCUAGUGAACACUCCUGACAUAUAGGGGAUUAGUAUCGAAGUUCAUAGGCGACUACCAAAAAACAGUGUACUACUAGUCACUAUCCCCAGCUGCGAGACCUUCUCACCACAAAACAGAGCACACAAAGACUCGAGCUGCUAGUCGCCAUUCUGCUUCUCGAGAAAUCCAUAGGAACCGUAUGCUAUGGCCUAGCUUCUACUGAAAUUGAUGUGCACCAUGUUCCUGCACCCUAUUACUCGUAUUCAUUUAUUUCAUUUCAUAGCUUCGAUUUGGAACUUGUUACGUUUAUUGUGCGGAGACUUCACAAAAUAUGAACAAAGAAGAAAGUGUGUUAUGGACCUUGUAACUCCUUCCCCUUUUUUCUGUUCAUGAAUGUUCUUCAGAUGAUUUGAUGGAAGGAAGUUCAUGUAAACCACCGAGUUUACAUAUAGCUAAAAGAAGUAUGUAUGUUUUAAAGUAAUCUCAAAGUUCAAGGAUUAUUGUCUGCGAGAGUUCAAUCAUUGGAUUUUGGGAAGAAUUCAUCUUAUGAUAAAAAAUCCAAUGAUAAAAAAAUUCAUUCAUCAAAAGAAUUGCACAAAACAAUUUUUGGGAGGUUUGAAAAGUUAUAUUUUGAAAAUGUGCACAAAGGAGUGAAGAAAAAAGAUGGGCUCCACAAAAAUAAUGAUGAAGUUUAAAUAAAAAAGACGAAGAAGUUGAAUGCUUGUUAGAAACCCAAAGAAGGUCAUUAAAAAAGCAUCUCAAACAAUUUUUAUAAAAAAUAUUUUCUCUGUUAAAAUAAACCUAGAAGCUCAAAUUUAAAAACGGAGCAACUCAAUGUCUAUCCGAAAGUAGGAUUUUUUUCAUUACUAAAAAGAAAAUAAAACCAGGAAGUCCAAAUUAAAAAGAUGGAGAAGUUCGAUGAUUAUAGAAAACUCAGAAUUUCCUCGUUAUUAAAGAAUGGAAACAAGAAGUUCAAAAAUUAAAAAACAAGAAGUUCAACUUUUAAGCGCUUCAAAAUUUCAUAAACAUAUUAAGAGUUAAAACCAGGAAGUCCAAAUUAAAAAGAUAGAAAAGUUCGAUGAUUGUGGAAAACUCAGAAUUUCAUCGUUAUCAAAAAAGGAAACAAGAAGUUCAAAAAUUAAAAACAAGAAGUUCAACUAUUAAAAAAUAGAGCGCUUCAAAAUUUCAUAUAAAAAAUUAAGAAAUAAAACCAGGAAGUCCAUAUUAAAAAGAUGGAGAAGUUCUAUGAUUAUAGAAAACUCAAAAUUUCCUCAUUAUUAAAAGAAUGAAAACAAAGAAGUUCAAAAUUAAAAUAACAAGAAGUUCAAUUUUUAAAAAUAGAGCGCUUCAAAAAUUCAUAAAUAAGAUUAAGAAAAAAAUAAGGAAGUCCAUAUUAAAAAGAUGGAGAAGUUCUAUGAUUAUAGAAAACUCAGAUUUUCCUCGUUAUUAAAGAUUGGAAACAAGAAGUUCAAAAAUAAAAAACAAGAAGUUCAAAUUUUUAAAAAUAGAGCGCUUCAAAAUUUUAUAAAAAGGAUUAAGAAAUUCAGAUAAAUAUUUAUAAAAAACUCAGAUAUUUUCACGUAACCGAGAGAAGUUCGAUUGAUAACUGCCAGAAGUUCACGUACUACACGGUGUGCAUUUUGUAUUAAAAAAAGAAUGAAAAAGCAAAGACUAAAAGUUUUGUUGUUAUAAGUGCAACUCCUCGGUCAGAGAAAGUUAAAAAAAUUAUUGUGAGAGGGGUUUGUACAAAAGAAGUAUCAUUUGUGUAACACUGAUGAUGUAUGAGAAAAUUACAAACGAAAAUACGUCACAGAAGUUCAACUGAAAAUAGCAGGAAGUUCAAUUACUACAGUGGAUGAAUUUUUGAUGAGGACAUGACUACCUUGGAUACGACCAAAAAUGUUGCAUACAUGCAUAUUUGUCAGGUGAUUUCUAGUGCAAACUAUUCAAUAAUCUAUUUAUGUUAUCCAGAACAAAAAUACUUCACACACUUUUGUGUUUUGUCUAAUUGCAGGUGUAUGGGAUAUUUGUACAAUUCACAUAUGAAGAUAAGAGAGAAAGAUAUGUUUAAGUGCUGUUCAAAAAGUUCUCUCACGUCACUUUUGGGCCAAGAGAAGAUAGAGUCCAAGUCUCUCACGUUCUGGAUUCAGAUUCGGACUGCACAGACAUACCUGUCUCAAAACGCCAACAACUUUUUCAUACGGACUCCGAAUUGGGUGAUUCUUUUUUUUUGGAUUCUAGAUUUUGUGCUCUUUCCGGCCCAAUUGGAUUCACCUUCAAAUUCAUCCGGAGCGUUGAGAUAUAGACGAAACAAUCAGACGCUGCAGCAGAAUCCGAGUCAAACAACAAGUCCAAAGGUGUUGCAUCACCUCCACUUGGGCCCAUUGGCCUUGUACGACCUAGGGUUAGUUUUAGGCUGCCUUGGGACGUCCUCCCACUUCCUAGGCCGCCACCCCUUGAUCCUAUAUAAGUAGAUCCAUCUAGUAGCUUUUCGCUUGGGAUUUGUUUAGUUAAAAGUUAGCCAUUGCAACUUCGUGUACUUCGUUUGUGUCCAACGACCAGACCAAGACCGCUUACAGAUCCCCACCAUUAUCAAUACCUCAUAUAUAUUUGCAAUAUUCAGAUUGCUUUAUCAUAUUCUUGCUCGUUCUUCGAUUGCUUGCAGGAAUAGACCUUCGUGGUCAGGCUGACCGUGCUUCCGGCAUCGUCAGUAACCUCAGGAGAUUGGUUUAGCGAUUGCUAAGGCGCAACGUCGUGCACGUUUGUAGUCGGAUCGUCAAAGUCGUCUCCACCAAAUCGAUAGUUAUCAUCUCAUCGAAAGAUCGGGACACCCCCGCCUCUAUCAAUUUUAGAUGAAAAACUUUUAAAAUCGUCACGAGUACGAAAAAACGAUCAACACGGAAAAGUUGCAUGUUUAUAAUAGCUUUUUAACGGUAUGUCAUUUGCUCAAUUCCAGUGAGUGGAUGGAGAACUACGAGCAGUGGAUGGAGAGCUACGAGAAAAAAAAUCACGUGAAAAACAGAGUGAAGUUCAGGUACAUUCGUCGAGAAGUUCAGGUUCUUCACGCGGUGCAUUUUCGAAGAAUCUAUUUCGCGAUAAAGGCAGAACGAAUGAUCUCGCCGUUUUCGAAAUUACUUGAAAACGGCUAGAAAUCAGAGAAAACCAUCAACAUGAAAAAGUUUCGCAUUUUCCUUAGCUUUUCAGUGGUAUAUUAUUUGCCCCAUUCCGAUAAAGUUUGUAAAACUUACGGCGAAAAUAUGUUUUUAGCCAUUUUCCAAAUUGACAUUAAACCGUAAUGAAUUAGGAGAAACAAUAUAUAUAGAAAAGUUUCGCAUUUGUUCAAGCUUUCCAACGCCAUAUCAUUUGCUGCAUUCGGACGCACGGUUAAAAAAUUAGCUCGAAAAUACGAACUCGGUAGGACUUGGACCAUUUUCUAAAUUACUCUUAAACCAUUCAAAAUUAGAAAAAAACUUUAAAGAUGAAAAAGUAGCGCAUUUUCAUAAGCUUUCCAACGCCAUAUCAUAUGCCUCCAUUGGAUUAGCCGUUUAGAAAUGACAUCGAAAAAACGAACUCAGCUGUUUGGUUCACGAAAUUUUACGUUUUUUCAAAUUACUCUUUAACCAUAGGGAAUUAGAGAAAACUUUCUACAUGUGGAAGCAGCGGUUUUGCAGCAGCUUUCCAACGCCAUAUUAUAUGCCUCAUUCCGAUAAAUGGUUUAGAAAUGCGAUCGAAAAUACGAUUCACGUUUUUUGUGCGAAGAAAAAACGGUUUUCAAAACUGCUCUUAAACCGCUUAUAUUUUGCCAAAAAUUUAAGUUGGGUCAUGAUAUUGGGGUCCAUAGCUUUCCAACGGUAUAUCGCAAGCCCCAUUUGGGCAAUUUUGGCAGAAGUUCAACCUAGUUCACAGGGAAGUUCAACGUACUACUAGCGGGGCAGGUCAGGUUGUGAUCAGAAUAUUAUUCUGAUCCUGUGAUCAGAAUAGUGUUUAUAUAUAUAUAUAUAUGUUCAUUCAUGACACCUAGCACCCGUACACUCUGGUACGACCAAUACGCUAGGGGAUUAAGCAUACCCCAUAAUACGGUGUGAGAAGUCCGAACACUUUCAACAGUGCGGCACCACGAACUUAUAGCAUUAUAUGCAUCAGCUCCGAAUCAUGUCUUGGGUCAAUAGUUGGGUUUGCCCGGCUCCCAUGUUUUGGUACCUUACGUUCCGCUAUAUCGGCUAAGGUAGCACUGGGAGAACUACUGCGAUUGUGCCCCGGUUCUGCUGGGCUAAGCACCUCAGUAGAGAAAGCUAAAACUGACUGUCAUGAUAAGGCGAGAGACUGGUCGCUGUUCGAGAGGUUUCAAGUCCCUAAAGACUUAUGCCGCUUAGAGCGAGGAGUCGGCCCUGUCCGGCUUAAGGCGUGUAUUGCGCCCCGAAUUCGACCUUCCAAAUACUAGGGGCUUCGCCGAAAUUUAAAAUUAUAGAAUUCUAUGGCUAAGUGAGAGUGAUAACGCAUUAUAGUCCGAUUGCCUUGUUCGUUGUGCUGAGCACCUCCCUCGAAGGACCCAAAAAUGGGAACAAGAGUGCUCAGGUUUAUCCCGAACACCCCAGCACUCGUGGCAUGGGGGCAGAAGCCGACGACUAGCCAUCUCUCAGAUUUGAUAAACAGCCGAAUAGAAGGUAAUAUUUUAAAUUCAGACAAGCGUUGCAUAGCGCAUAUGAACACGUUUUCAUAAUACAGGAUUACACGAGCAAGUUUAUUCAAAUAUUACAUCUUUCGCACACUCGUCCGCUACAAGACGGGCACCCUUCAGGACACCCUCAUAGUACAUCUCGGGGUGGCGAUGCUCCUUGCCCUGCGGCGGCCCCUCCUUCACCAGCUUCACGGCGUCCAUCUUAGCCCAGUGCACCUUCGCACGGGCAAAAACCCGGCGUGCACCUUCGAUGCAGACGGACUGCUUGAUGACUUCCAGCCGUGGGCAGGCAUCCACAAGCCGCCUCACCAGGCCGAAGUAGCUGUUGGGAAGGGCGUCGCCAGGCCACAUCCGGACUAUAAAGCCCUUCAUGGCCUGUUCGGCCGCCUUGUGCAGCUCGACCAGUUGCUUCAGCUGGUCGCUCAGAGGCAUCGGGUGUUCGGUCCCAGUAUACGGAGACCAGAACAGCCUCUCCGUUGAGCUUCCCUCCAUGGCCUGGUAAAACUGUGCGGCAUCCGACAUGCUGCGGGGCAAAUCUGCGAAUGCUCCUAGAGAGCUCCGGACUUGGGUAAGUAACAAGUAAUUUACUUUCACAUGCUUGCUUUGCAUAUUGAAUGCCUUACCCGCCGCUAUCUUCUUCAUCGCAUCAAUCUCCUGGAGGGCCUUUUGGGCCUCAGCCUUGGCAUUCUUUGCGCUCUCGAGGGCCGCGGCAAGCUCGGACUCUCGCGUCUUCAAGUCAAGAUCCAACGCCUCGUGCUUCGUCACGAGAGCAUGGAGCUCUUGCUGCACCUCGCCCACCCGUGUCUCCUGCCUUUCCGCUCGGUGCGCUCCUUGGCUACUUUAUUUUCGGCCUCGGAUAGCGCUUGCUUUAGGGUCGCCACCUCGGUCGUGGCCCCUGGUAAAUUUACGAUGAUCCUGUCAUUUUGCAAUCGCAUUCUUUUUAUAUAUAUCCAUGAACUAGGUACUACUUACCUUUGUUCUCCUCGAGCUGCCUCUUGGCAAGGCCGAGCUCUUCCUUGGACCCUUCGAGGUCCUGCUUCAGUGCGGCGACCUCCGCAGUCAGUGCGGCAGAGGCCAGCAGCGAAGCCUGCAUACGCAUAUAGACAUACUUAUAUUAGACUCCUGCGAUGUUGUUUGAUCCUCUAUUCGGCUUUUCUUUGUGAACACCGAACAGAGCAUCAGGGGCUACUGUCUAUGCGGUAAUAUUUUUCCUAUAUUUCAAAUACUUACCUCAAAGCAUGUUAGAAGGCUGGCACAGGCUUCAGUCAGUCCGCUCUUGGCGGACUGAACCUUCUGGAUCACCGCACUCAUAAUAGUGCGGUGCUCUUCGUCGAUGGAAGCGCUGCGAAGCGCUCCCAGCAGAUUGUCUGGUGCCCCUAGAUGGGCAGAGGUCACCGGCACAGGCGUCUUGCCCCUUUUAGAAGGAGGCCGCCUGCCCGAGUCCGGAACCACUGGAGGUUCUAGCGCGGUGUUCGGCUGAGGGCCGAACUCGGAGCCCUCGGGAGCCUUACUCCCUCUGCUCCUAGAGUCCGGAAGGUCGCCUUGAGGCGCCUCCGAGAUUGUCUCCCCUCGACCCGGUGCCUCUUGAGACAAGACCUCGGCAUUGUCCGUAGGUAAAGGGGAGGUGGCGGUCGGAAGUGGAUCACUAUCCAUGUCCGACGAGUCCAAGGAGCCGCCCGACAAAGAUGCGUCGAUACGGGCUUGGGGCGAUCUGCAUAAUCAUAUUCGGCGUUAGGAGAAGCAGUGCGACAAAGGUAUGCUAUAAGUUACUCUGGCAUCCGAAUACUUAUGACUUCGCCAGGGGCUUGGCCCUGAGCAGCCACUUGUCUUCGCCUUCGGCGGCGGUGGUGGAGUAGUCCGGAAGAAGGGUCCUCCCCUUCUUGGACCCUUCGCCCCUCCCAGUCGGGGCGGCCUUCCUUUUCUUGUCUCCCCCGACUAGAGGGGGAGCAUUUUCAUCUUCCUCCUCGCCUUCGGGGGAGGAGUGCGUUGCAGAGUCAUCGGACGAUGAGUCCGGUACUACCUGGCGUCGGGAACUCUUUCGGGUUCCCUUGUCCUUCUUGGUCUUCUUCGGCACCUCGUAAGGAGCCGGAGUCAGCAUCUCCGUCAGGAGAGCGUCCGCAGUGUCUUCGGGCAGAGGGGCCGGACAAUUGAUUUUCUCCGAUGCCCCCACCCAGUCCUGUCAAAGGCAUGGGAGCUCAGACCCCACACGUGGUUAAGCUAUGGGAAGUAAAAAUCCUACCAGAUGUACAAAACUUACCGGAUUCGCAGGGCGCUUCGCGCUUAGCCCGUGGUCCUCGGUGAGAGGGGGAGGGACCUCGGCGCCCUUGAACAACACCCUCCAAACGUCCUUGUGCGUCGUGUCGAAGAGCUCGCUCAGAGUCUGGUGCUGGGCCGGGUCGAACUCCCACAAGUUGAAAUCCUGUUGUUGACACGGGAGGAUCCGGCGGAAGAGCAUGACCUGGACUAUGUUGACAAGCUUGAGCUUCUUGCUUUCCAUAUUCUGGAUACAUUUCUGGAGUCCGUCCAGCUCCACCGAUGACCCCCAGGAUAGGCCCUUCUCAUUCCAGGAGGUGAGCCGCGUGGGGAUUCCGGAUCGAAACUCAGGGGCCACCACCCAGUUGGUGUCGCGCGGCUCGGUGAUGUAGAACCAUGCCGAUUGCCACCCCUUUAUGGUCACCACGAAGGAGCCUUCAAGCCAUGUAACAUUGGGCAUCUUGCCCACCAUGGCUCCACCGCAUUCCACUUGUUGGCCUCCCACCACCUUCGGCUUGAUAUUGAAGGUCUUUAACCACAGGCCGAAGUGGGGCCGGAUGCGGAGGAAAGCCUCACACAUGACGAUGAACGCCGAAAUGUUGAGGAUGAAGUUCGGGGCUAGAUCAUGAAAGUCCAGCCCGUAGUAGAACAUAAGACCACGGACGAAUGGAUGGAGGGGAAACCCCAGUCCACAAAGGAAGCGGUGGACGAAAACUACCCUCUCGUGAGGUUCCGAGGUAGGAACAAUCUGCCCCGCAGCGGGCAGCCGAUGCGCGAUAUUCGCGGCUAAGUAUCCGGCUCCGCGCAGCUUUUUGAUGUGGCCCUCCGUGAUGGAGGAGGCCAUCCACUUGCCUCCCGCUCCGGACAUGUUUGGAGAAGGUUGAGGAGAAGGAUGUGGACUUGGGCAUUGGAGCUUGAGUGCACAAGAAUGGAUGAGCAAGGAGGAAGAAGGCGUGGGUAGAAAAAGGUUAAACCUUAUCCCCUUAUAAGGGCGGCCGAAACUAUGCGCCCCCACUAGCCUGGUAAAACUCGCUUAUCCCCCAAGAACCAUAAUUGAUGGCGCGGUUGGGUUACCCACGCCCAUAUUGAUGAGAAUCCCGUAAUAAGGGGGGCCCGAUCUCUGCUUUGACAAGACCUGUCAAGAAACUGCCUCGCGUUAUGUGCGGGGCUGGUUAAAGAAAAACGGUUCGAAUAAUCACCGAGCCAUGGCAUGAUGUCAUGUUGCCAAAAUGUGUGAGCAGAUUAGAUUUGUGGAAAUAUUAUUCUCUCUAUAGUGGUAUGUGGAACUUAUUUUGCAGGGUCGGACACCAUCCUGUUAUUCAAACUCUUCUGUGGUGUAUCCAGAGGAGGAACCCGCCUUGCAAUGCCGAAGACAACACUACGUACCAGACUUGAUAGAGGCAGAGGUGUCCCGUCUUUCGAUGAGAUGAUGGAUUUCGCUUUGGUGGAAGUCGACUUUGACGAUCCGACUACGAACGUGCGAGGACGUCGCGCCUUAGCAAUCGCUAAACCAACUCCGAGAGGUUAUUGACCACGCCGGAGCACGAUCAACCUGACCACGAGGAUCUGUUUCCUGCGAGCAAACGAAGAACAAGCAAGAAACUGAGAUUGCAAUCUGGAUAUUGCGAAUAUAAGAUGAAAGCUUUAUUGAUCAAGGUGGGGUUCUGUGACGCCUUUGUCUGGUCGUUGAACACAAACGAAGUACGCGAAGUUGCAGCUAUGGCGAACUUUUAAUCUAAACAAAACCCAAAGUCUAAACGAUGCCCUAAGGGCUGUAUAUAUGGAGGAAGAGGGGGGAAUUUCGUGGCCCUUGGUGGAGGGGUCCGAAAUCAACCCUAUCUCUUGUUUCCCCACACAUACGGACUCUAAAAAUAGCCUAUACUUAUGUAUUUCGAAAUUACAUGGGCCUGGCCCAAUAAUAAGGUGACGCAGCACCUAAAAUAGCCUCGGGACGAAAUUUAUGAAGUGGCAUCUUGUAUAUUUCAUCCAAGGCUUCAUGCACCCAUUAUAGUGGCUUCAAAGUCCUGAAGUCAUCACUUGUAACUCCGUUCUUGUUCCCCUUGCGCAUGCCAUCAUCUCCAUGCUUGUUCUUGCUCCAUUGUUCAUCCUUCUCCAAGCUAGGCCCUUCAUUUGUAAGCAAAACAAAUGUAUCCAAUUUAGGCAGCAUCAUAUUCUCAUGAACAUUAGAAUCAUUACCAAGAAACGAAAGUACCUGGUAAUUUAGUUGGCGUGCGCGAGCUCUAGUAAUUGGUCCAGUAUGUAUAGCAGCAGGGCCUGUGGGUGUAACAAUGGUAUUGAUGUCCUCAUCAGGGAACAAGAACGGAGUUACAAGUUGAUAGAGGCGAAGGUGUCCCGUCUUUCGAUGAGAUGAUGGAUAUCGCUUUGGUGGAAGUCGACUUUGACGAUCCGGCUACGAACGUGCGAGGACGUCGCGCCUUAGCAAUCGCUAAACCAACUCCGAGAGGUUAUUGACCACGCCGGAGCACGAUCAACCUGACCACGAGGGUCUGUUUCCUGCGAGCAAACGAAGAACAAGCAAGAAACUGAGAUUGCAAUCUGGAUAUUGCGAAUAUAAGAUGAAAGCUUUAUUGAUCAAGGUGGGGUUCUGUGACGCCUUUGUCUGGUCGUUGAACACAAACGAAGUACGCGAAGUUGCAGCUAUGGCGAACUUUUAAUCUAAACAAAACCCAAAUUCUAAACGACGCCCUAAGGGCUGUAUAUAUGGAGGAAGAGGGGGGAAUUUCGUGGCCCUUGGUGGAGGGGUCCGAAAUCAACCCUAUCUCUUGUUUCCCCACACAUACGGACUCUAAAAAUAGCCUAUACUUAUGUAUUUCGAAAUUACAUGGGCCUGGCCCAAUAAUAAGGUGACGCAGCACCUAAAAUAGCCUCGGGACGAAAUUUAUGAAGUGGCAUCUUGUAUAUUUCAUCCAAGGCUUCAUGCACCCAUUAUGGUGGCUUCAAAGUCCUGAAAUCAUCACUUGUAACUCCGUUCUUGUUUCCCUUGCGCAUGCCAUCAUCUCCAUGCUUGUUCUUGCUCCAAUGUUCAUCCUUCUCCAAGCUAGGCCCUUCAUUUGUAAGCAAAACAAAUGUAUCCAAUUUAGGCAGCAUCAUAUUCUCAUGAACAUUAGAAUCAUUACCAAGAAACGAAAGUACCUGGUAAUUUAGUUGGCGUGCACGAGCUCUAGUAAUUGGUCCAGUAUGUAUAGCAGCAGGGGCUGUGGGUGUAACAAUUGUAUUGAUGUCCUCAUCACUUAACCUUGCCGCUGUUGUUGAACCAUUGGAUGUAGUAAGGAUGUGGAUGUGGUCUUGUGGUGAGAGAAAGCUUCUCCACCAUCUCCAUGCUAGCCAAAUUGUUGCAGCUCCCUCCGUCUAUUAUGACGCGCACAGAACGUUCCUUCACAACUCCCUUGGUAUGGAACAAAUUGUGCCUCUGAUUUUGCUCAGCUUGUGUGACCUGCACACUCAAAACACGUUGAGCAACUAAACAUUCAUACCUGUCAGCGUCUUCAGGAGCCAUGUAUUGCGUCUCAUGAUCAGAAUCAUCUCCACCAUGUUCUUCACGUGUAAUAAGAGCCAAUGUCUCCUCAUCAUAGUCACUAGCAGACUCAUAUCCACCAUCCGCGGUAGCAAUCAUCACACGCGGAGAUUUGCAUUCCCUCGCAUAAUGACCUCCUCCCUUACAACGACGACAAAUAAUAUCACUUGUGUGCCCUGUUGAUGCCAUGGAAGAAGAAGAACGCUGUGCAGGCCUCGCAGGUGCGCUCUUGGCAGAUAAUGGUGGUUGUGCAUGUUUUCUUGUAUCACGGCUGGAGGUGGCACCGGAUGGAGGUGCUAGUGCAGUUGAAGUAGAAGAUGCACGUGGUGUCCAUGAUGAAGGUCGGCCUGCAGAAAAGUUAGUUCGCCCCAAUGCUUGUCGAUCCUGCACUUCACGUUCAGCUUUACAAGCAAGAUGGAAUAAACGAGUGAUAUUAGUAUACUCCUUAUAGUCUAGAAUGGUCUGAAUCUCUCUAUUUAAUCCACCCAGAAAACGUGCAAGCAUAGCUUCAUUCUCCUCAACAAUACCACAUCUAAUCAUGCCAGUUUGUAAUUCCUGAUAAUAUUCUUCUACAGAAUUUUUCCCUUGUCUUAAACGCUGCAAUUUUUGAAGCAAUUCACGUUGAUAAUAUGGUGGAACCCAACGCGUACGCAUAGCAGUUUUCAAAGCAGCCCAAGUAGUUGGAAUAGGAUAUAAUCUACAAUGUUCAGACCACCAUACACAUGCAAAACUAGUGAAAGCACAAACGGCAGCAGCAACUCGUCUCUCCUCAGGAUAUUGUAAACAUGUAAAUCGUUGUUCAGUUUCUAACUCCCAAGUAAGAUUGAUAGAGGCGGAGGUGUCCCGUCUUUCGAUGAGAUGGUGGAUUUCGCUUUGGUGGAAGUCGACUUUGACGAUCCGACUACGAACGUGCGAGGACGUCGCGCCUUAGCAAUCGCUAAACCAACUCCGAGAGGUUAUUGACCACGCCGGAGCACGAUCAACCUGACCACGAGGGUCUGUUUCCUGCGAGCAAACGAAGAACAAGCAAGAAACUAAGAUUGCAAUCUGGAUAUUGCGAAUAUAAGAUGAAAGCUUUAUUGAUCAAGGUGGGGUUCUGUGACGCCUUUGUCUGGUCGUUGAACACAAACGAAGUACGCGAAGUUGCAGCUAUGGCGAACUUUUAAUCUAAACAAAACCCAAAGUCUAAACGAUGCCCUAAGGGCUGUAUAUAUGGAGGAAGAGGGGGGAAUUUCGUGGCCCUUGGUGGAGGGGUCCGAAAUCAACCCUAUCUCUUGUUUCCCCACCCAUACGGACUCUAAAAAUAGCCUAUACUUAUGUAUUUCGAAAUUACAUGGGCCUGGCCCAAUAAUAAGGUGACGCAGCACCUAAAAUAGCCUCGGGACGAAAUUUAUGAAGUGGCAUCUUGUAUAUUUCGUCCAAGGCUUCAUGCACCCAUUAUGGUGGCUUCAAAGUCCUGAAAUCAUCACUUGUAACUCCGUUCUUGUUCUUGCUCCAAUGUUCAUCCUUCUCCAAGCUAGGCCCUUCAUUUGUAAGCAAAACAAAUGUAUCCAAUUUAGGCAGCAUCAUAUUCUCAUGAACAUUAGAAUCAUUACCAAGAAUAGAAAGUACCUGGUAAUUUAGUUGGCGUGCACGAGCUCUAGUAAUUGGUCCAGUAUGUAUAGCAGCAGGGGCUGUGGGUGUAACAAUUGUAUUGAUGUCCUCAUCAUCCUCCCCUUCUUGAAAUGAAGUCGUCCUCGACGGAAGUCCAUCUUCCUCACCCAAAUAAGGCUUCAAAUCUGCAAUGUUAAAAGUGGGACUAACCCCAAAAUCUGCAGGCAGCUCAAGUUUAUAUGCAUUAUCAUUUAUUUUCUCUAACACCUUAAAGGGACCAUCAGCACGUGGCAUUAACUUUGAUUUGCGCAAAUCAGGAAAUCUAUCCUUACGCAAAUGUAACCAAACAAGAUCUCCAGGUGCAAACACAACAUGUUUUCUACCCUUAUCUCCAGCAAGUUUAUAUUUAGCAUUCAUGCGCUCAAUGUUUUCCUUAGUUAACUCAUGCAUUUUUAAAAUCAAUUCAGCACGUUGUUUAGCAUCAAAAUUAACCUUCUCCGAAGAUGGAAGAGGCAACAAAUCAAUAGGUGCACGAGGUAGGAAACCAUACACAAUUUCAAAAGGGCACAUCUUAGUAGUAGAAUGCAACGAACGAUUAUAAGCAAAUUAAAUAUGAGGCAAGCAUUCUUCCCACAUUUUCUUAUUAUUCUUCAAAACAGCCCUAAGCAUAGUAGACAAUGUUCUAUUGACUACUUCAGUUUGUCCAUCAGUUUGGGGGUGACAAGUAGUACUAAAAAGCAGUUUAGUCCCCAACUUAGCCCAUAAACAUCUCCAAAAGUGGCUAAGAAAUUUAGUAUCACGAUCUGAAACAAUAGUAUUUGGCACACCAUGCAAACGAAUAAUUUCACGAAAGAACAAAUCAGCAACAUUAACAGCAUCAUCGCUUUUAUGACAUGGUAUAAAGUGUGCCAUUUUCGAGAAUCUAUCCACGACAACAAAUAUGCUAUCCCUCCCCUUCUUUGUUCGAGGUAAACCUAAAACAAAGUCCAUAGAUAUAUCCUCCCAAGGAACACUAGGUACAGGCAAAGGCAUAUAUAAACCAUGAGGAUUGAGUCGUGACUUAGCUUUUUGACAUGUAGUGCAUCGAGCAAUAAAACGCUCAACAUCCCGUCUCAUCUUUGGCCAAAAGAAAUGUGUAGCAAGUACGUCCUCCGUCUUCUUCACGCCAAAGUGUCCCAUUAAUCCUCCUCCAUGCGCCUCCUGCAACAACAAAAGAUGAACAGAGCUAGCUGGAAUGCAUAGCUUGUUAGCACGAAACACAAAUCCAUCGUUAACGACAAACUUGUUCCACAUUCUUCCUUCUUUACAAUUCUGCAUUACAUCUUUAAAAUCAGCAUCAUGCACAUAUUGAUCUUUGAUGGUCUCUAAACCAAAUAUUUUGAAGUCAAGUUGUGAAAGCAUAGUAUAGCGACGAGACAAUGCAUCAGCAAUAACAUUUUCUUUUCCCUUCUUGUGUUUAAUGACAUAAGGGAAAGUCUCAAUGAAUUCAACCCAUUUAGCAUGUCUACGAUUCAGUUUAGCUUGACUUUUAAUAUGUUUCAAAGAUUCAUGAUCAGAAUGUAUAACAAAUUCUUUGGGCCAUAAAUAAUGUUGCCAUGUUUCUAAAGUCCGAACAAGAGCAUAUAAUUCUUUAUCAUAAGUAGAAUAAUUCAGACUAGGCCCACUCAAUUUUUCAGAAAAGUAUGCAACAGGUUUGCCAUCUUGUAAUAACACACCUCCUAACCCAAUUCCACUAGCAUCACAUUCAAGCUCAAAAGUCUUAUUAAAAUCAGGAAGUUGGAGUAAAGGAGCAUGUGUCAACUUAUCUUUCAAUACCGUGAAGGCUUCUUCCUGUGCGGUACCCCAAACAAAAGGCACAUCCUUCUUUGUAAGCUCGUUGAGAGGUGCAGCAAUGGUGCUGAAAUCUCUCACAAAACGCCUAUAGAAUCCAGCGAGGCCAAGAAAACUCCUCACUUGUGUGACCGUUUUGGGCUGCGGCUAACUCUCAAUAGCUUCAAUCUUGGCUUUGUCAACUUCAAUUCCCUGUGCAGUAACAACAUAGCCAAGAAAAGAUACUCGGUCGGUGCAAAAGGUGCACUUCCCAUGGUUACCAAACAAACGUGCAUCACGUAGAGCAAUAAAAACAGCACGUAAAUGUUCCAAAUGUUCUUCCAAAGAUCUGCUAUAAAUCAAUAUGUCAUCAAAGUAAACUACCACAAAUCGUCCAAUGAAAGCACGUAAAACUUCGUUCAUUAAUCUCAUGAAAGUACUAGGUGCAUUAGUUAACCCAAAAGGCAUGACUAACCACUCAUAUAAUCCAAACUUAGUUUUAAAUGCUGUUUUCCAUUCAUCUCCCAAUUUCAUACGAAUUUGAUGGUAGCCACUACGCAAAUCAACUUUGGAGAAUAUUGUAGAGCCACUCAAUUCAUCAAGCAUAUCAUCUAGCCUAGGAAUAGGAUGACGAUAACGAAUAGUAAUAUUAUUAAUGCCUCUACAAUCAACACACAUACGUGAUGUACCAUCCUUUUUCGGCACUAGAAUAAUAGGAACAGCACAAGGACUAAGGGAUUCGCGUAUAUAACCUUUGUCGAGAAGCUCUUGUACUUGACGCAUAAUCUCCUUCGUCUCCUCUAGAUUGGUACGGUAUGGUGCACGGUUUGGCAGUGAAGCACCGGGAAUAAAGUCAAUCUGAUGCUCAAUCCCUCGAAUAGGCGGUAAUCCCGGUGGCACGUCUUGUGGAAAAACGUCAGCGAACUCCUGCAAAAUGUUAGUGACAGCAGGAGGCAAAGAGGAAGGCACGUCCUCGAAUGAAAAUAAUGCCUCUUUGCACACAAAAGCAUAGCAAACAGAUUUGCUGAAAUCUAGCUCAUCAAUAUCAGAUUUGGUGGCAAAUAAACAUGCACUUUUCAAUUUAAUUUCAGAAGCAACACUAGAUGGUUUAUUAUUAGGCUUCAUUUGUUGCUCAAAUUCUUUUGCCACAAUCUGAUUUUCACUCUUAUUCUUCUCCUGUUGUGCUUUAUUAGCUCUAUUAAUAUCAUCUUUCAAAAUGGAAUCAGGAGUCAUAGGAAGCAAAGUAAUAUUUUUAUCCUUAUGAACAAGAGUAUAGUGAUUGUUUCUACCGUGGUGUACAGAAUUUUUAUCAAAUUGCCAUGGUCUACCAAGUAAUAAGGAACAUGCUUGCAUAGGUACCACAUCACAAUCAACAUAAUCAGCAUAUGUAGAGAUACUAAAAUGCACACGAACAGUACGUGUUACCUUAACCUUGCCGCUGUUGUUGAACCAUUGGAUGUAGUAAGGAUGUGGAUGUGGUCGUGUGGUGAGAGAAAGCUUCUCCACCAUCUCCAUGCUAGCCAAAUUGUUGCAGCUCCCUCCGUCUAUUAUGACGCGCACAGAACGUUCCUUCACAACUCCCUUGGUAUGGAACAAAUUGUGCCUCUGAUUUUGCUCAGCUUGUGUGACCUGCACACUCAAAACACGUUGAGCAACUAAACAUUCAUACCUGUCAGCGUCUUCAGGAGCCAUGUAUUGCGUCUCAUGAUCAGAAUCAUCUCCACCAUGUUCUUCACGUGUAAUAAGAGCCAAAGUCUCCUCAUCAUAGUCACUAGCGGACUCAUAUCCACCAUCCGCGGUAGCAAUCAUCACACGCGGAGAUUUGCAUUCUCUCGCAUAAUGACCUCCUCCCUUACAACGACGACAAAUAAUAUCACUUGUGUGCCCUGUUGAUGCCAUGGAAGAAGAAGAACGCUGUGCAGGCCCCGUAGGUGCGCUCUUGGCAGAUAAUGGUGGUUGUGCCUGAUUUCUUGUAUCACGGCUGGAGGUGGCACCGGAUGGAGGUGCUGGUGCAGUUGAAGUAGAAGAUGCACGUGGCGUCCAUGAUGAAGGUCGGCCUGUAGAAAAGUUAGUUCGCCCCAAUGCUUGUCGAUCCUGCACUUCACGUUCAGCUUUACAAGCAAGAUGGAAUAAACGAGUGAUAUUAGUAUACUCCUUAUAGUCUAGAAUGGUCUGAAUCUCUCUAUUUAAUCCACCCAGAAAACGUGCAAGCAUAGCUUCAUUCUCCUCAACAAUACCACAUCUAAUCAUGCCAGUUUGUAAUUCCUGAUAAUAUUCUUCUACAGAAUUUUUUCCUUGUCUUAAACGCUGCAAUUUUUGAAGCAAUUCACGUUGAUAAUAUGGUGGAACCCAACGCGUACGCAUAGCAGUUUUCAAAGCAGCCCAAGUAGUUGGAAUAGGAUAUAAUCUACAAUGUUCAGACCACCAUACACAUGCAAAACUAGUGAAAGCACAAACAGCAGCAGCAACUCGUCUCUCCUCAGGAUAUUGUAAACAUGUAAAUCGUUGUUCAGUUUCUAACUCCCAAGUAAGAUAUAUAUCAGGAACAUAUCUACCCUCAAAUGGUGGAAUAUUCAAUUUCAGUUUAGGAAUAUGGACAUCAUCUCGUACCUGAGGUGGUGGUGCAGGCCUACCAUUACGAAUAUAUACCUGAGGUCGACCUGCUGGUGGUGGUACAGGUGGCUGCACGUAGUGUUGAUUUUGAUCAACCUCAUCCUCAUAAUCUCCCACAUAAUCAUCCUCCUCCACAUCAGCAGCAAGAGCCACAGAAGUAUCAACAGCAGCACCAACAGUUUGGCCAAACGCAAGAGGAACACGGCUUGCUCGGCGGAGGUCUGCUUCGCGACGUGGAGGUAGUCGUUGUUGUUGUUGUUGGAGAGGUGCGUUAGGUGCAGCGGGUGGUGGUGGUGGAAGACGCGCGAGCAAUUCAUUAAACUUGUUAUCGAGCUUUGUUUCAAACGUCUUCUCAAGGCCAGUGAUCUUCUCCAUGGCCUCUUCAAAAUUGUUCAGCACAUCUUGCACCUGUUCAGUCAUCAUUUGCUGAAACUUAUCAUGAAGCUCCUUGUUCGAUAAAUUCUCCCAGUCAAUCUCGUCGGCUUGUGAUCCUGGCAUGGUUAGCAGCAAUAGAAACACACAAGAAUAUGAUCCUACAGACUACGAACAAGUGGUGGUGGUGGGUGUCACAAAUCCGUCAAGCAAAUCUCAAAUUCUUACCAGUUCUUACCCAGCAGCAGGCGGUGAUCGGCAACCGUUGUAGUCAAAAACUCUCAAAGCUUGGAUAGAGCGAUUACCAGGGAGAGUCAAAUGCACGACGUAGAUGUAUGUGGAGCUGGGAAGGCUUAUAAUAUGGUAGCAAAAAGGAUCAGCAAUAAUCAAUUCAGAGAUGCAAAGUUGAAUAAACGCUCAACGACGGUACUGUGCUGGUCCUAGGCUAGACUGUGCUAGAGACGCGAGCCUAGAACACUAAAAAAAUCACGGCGCGGCACGUAAACAAGGGAAAAGCACACUCUGGAAUUUUUUUUCGCUCUUUUUUUUUGCGCUCUCUUUUUUUUUUGCGCUGCUUUUUUUUUGCGCUGCUUUUUUUUUUGCGAAAAAUCACUAUAAUGGCGAGUGUCUCAAAACUCUUCUUAGCUCAAACUGACAGGAUGGGCACGAAAUUUUUUCGACUAAUUUUUUUUUUUUGACUGCCCGGACCCAAAAACUGGAAACGGGUCAAAAAAACUUCCUAUAAUGGCACCUGUCUCAAAACACUCAGAAACGCCUAAAAAUAGGAUAACCAGAAAAUUUUUCGAAAAAUGCGUUUUCGAAAAAUUUUGGGCCUAAACGGAGCGUGGCUACCCGACUCUUUUUUUUUUCGAGACCUACUCCGGCAAGGAAACACGAAUCGGAAUCUAGAUGGAUCUCGAAAACAAACCUAAUAUGACAAGAACUCGGAUUGGUGGUGGAUAUAUGGUGGUAGAUGGCAGCGGUGGUGGUAUUAGGAUACGGAUUCGAAGCGGUGGCGGAUAAACGGUGGUGGUAGAUGGCAGGGGCGAUGAUGAUGGUGCGGCGGCGGCGUGACAACUUAUGACCAGAACUCGAAACUCUAAAAGACUAGACUCUAAAACCAGCAACUAGACCGACGAUGCAACCGCAAAUUCAACAAAGCAAAACCCUAAAAAGAUUAUGCAAAGGCUCAGAUUGGUUCGGAUAUGAUAAACUAACCCUAAUUUUUUUGUGUGGCUUUUUCGUGGACUGUAGGUAUGAAGAACAGACACGAUCUAAACGACGAAAAACUGUAAAAUCUCACCGAGCAACCUGGAAAUCUGAUACCACUUGAUAGAGGCAGAGGUGUCCCGUCUUUCGAUGAGAUGAUGGAUUUCGCUUUGGUGGAAGUCGACUUUGACGAUCCGACUACGAACGUGCGAGGACGUCGCGCCUUAGCAAUCACUAAACCAACUCCGAGAGGUUAUUGACCACGCCGGAGCACGAUCAACCUGACCACGAGGAUCUGUUUCCUGCGAGCAAACGAAGAACAAGCAAGAAACUGAGAUUGCAAUCUGGAUAUUGCGAAUAUAAGAUGAAAGCUUUAUUGAUCAAGGUGGGGUUCUGUGACGCCUUUGUCUGGUCGUUGAACACAAACGAAGUACGCGAAGUUGCAGCUAUGGCGAACUUUUAAUCUAAACAAAACCCAAAGUCUAAACGAUGCCCUAAGGGCUGUAUAUAUGGAGGAAGAGGGGGGAAUUUCGUGGCCCUUGGUGGAGGGGUCCGAAAUCAACCCUAUCUCUUGUUUCCCCACACAUACGGACUCUAAAAAUAGCCUAUACUUAUGUAUUUCGAAAUUACAUGGGCCUGGCCCAAUAAUAAGGUGACGCAGCACCUAAAAUAGCCUCGGGCCGAAAUUUAUGAAGUGGCAUCUUGUAUAUUUCGUCCAAGGCUUCAUGCACCCAUUAUGGUGGCUUCAAAGUCCUGAAAUCAUCACUUGUAACUCCGUUCUUGUUCCCCUUGCGCAUGCCAUCAUCUCCAUGCUUGUUCUUGCUCCAAUGUUCAUCCUUCUCCAAGCUAGGCCCUUCAUUUGUAAGCAAAACAAAUGUAUCCAAUUUAGGCAGCAUCAUAUUCUCAUGAACAUUAGAAUCAUUACCAAGAAACGAAAGUACCUGGUAAUUUAGUUGGCGUGCGCGAGCUCUCGUAAUUGGUCCAGUAUGUAUAGCAGCAGGGCCUGUGGGUGUAACAAUGGUAUUGAUGUCCUCAUCAUCCUCCCCUUCUUGAAAUGAAGUCGUCCUCGACGGAAACUCAUCUUCCUCACCCAAAUAAGGCUUCAAAUCUGCAAUGUUAAAAGUGGGACUAACCCCAAAAUCUGCAGGCAGCUCAAGUUUAUAUGCAUUAUCAUUUAUUUUCUCUAACACCUUAAAGGGACCAUCAGCCCGUGGCAUGAGCUUUGAUUUGCGCAAAUCAGGAAAUCUAUCCUUACGCAAAUGUAACCAAACAAGAUCUCCAGGUGCAAACACAACAUGUUUUCUACCCUUAUCUCCAGCAAGUUUAUAUUUGGCAUUCAUACGCUCAAUGUUUUCCUUAGUUAACUCAUGCAUUUCUAAAAUCAAUUCAGCACGUUGUUUAGCAUCAAAAUUAACCUUCUCCGAAGAUGGAAGAGGCAACAAAUCAAUAGGUGCACGAGGUAGGAAACCAUACACAACUUCAAAAGGGCACAUCUUAGUAGUAGAAUGCAAUGAACGAUUAUAAGCAAAUUCAAUAUGAGGCAAGCAUUCUUCCCACAUUCUUCCUUCUUUGCAAUUCUGCAUUACAUCUCUAAAAUCAGCAUCAUGCACAUAUUGAUCUUUGAUGCUCUCCAAACCAAAUAUUUUGAAGUCAAGUUGUGAAAGCAUAGUAUAGCGACGAGACAAUGCAUCAGCAAUAACAUUUUCUUUUCCCUUCUUGUGUUUAAUGACAUAAGGGAAAGUCUCAAUGAAUUCAACCCAUUUAGCAUGUCUACGAUUCAGUUUAGCUUGACUUUUAAUAUGUUUCAAAGAUUCAUGAUCAGAAUGUAUAACAAAUUCUUUGGGCCAUAAAUAAUGUUGCCAUGUUUCUAAAGUCCGAACAAGAGCAUAUAAUUCUUUAUCAUAAGUAGAAUAAUUCAGACUAGGCCCACUCAAUUUUUCAGAAAAGUAUGCAACAGGUUUGCCAUCUUGUAAUAACACACCUCCUAACCCAAUUCCACUAGCAUCACAUUCAAGCUCAAAAGUCUUAUUAAAAUCAGGAAGUUGGAGUAAAGGAGCAUGUGUCAACUUAUCUUUCAAUACCGUGAAGGCUUCUUCCUGUGCGGUACCCCAAACAAAAGGCACAUCCUUCUUUGUAAGCUCGUUGAGAGGUGCAGCAAUGGUGCUGAAAUCUCUCACAAAACGCCUAUAGAAUCCAGCGAGGCCAAGAAAACUCCUCACUUGUGUGACCGUUUUGGGCUGCGGCCAACUCUCAAUAGCUUCAAUCUUGGCUUUAUCAACUUCAAUUCCCUGUGGAGUAACAACAUAGCCAAGAAAAGAUACUCGGUCGGUGCAAAAGGUGCACUUCCCAAGGUUACCAAACAAACGUGCAUCACGUAGAGCAAUAAAAACAGCACGUAAAUGUUCCAAAUGUUCCUCCAAAGAUCUGCUAUAAAUCAAUAUGUCAUCAAAGUAAACUACCACAAAUCGUCCAAUGAAAGCACGUAAAACUUCGUUCAUUAAUCUCAUGAUAGUACUGAUAGAGGCAAAGGUGUCCCGUCUUUCGAUGAGAUGGUGGAUUUCGCUUUGGUGGAAGUCGACUUUGACGAUCCGACUACGAACGUGCGAGGACGUCGCGCCUUAGCAAUCGCUAAACCAACUCCGAGAGGUUAUUGACCACGCCGGAGCACGAUCAACCUGACCACGAAGGUCUGUUUCCUGCGAGCAAACAAAGAACAAGCAAGAAACUAAGAUUGCAAUCUGGAUAUUGCGAAUAUAAGAUGAAAGCUUUAUUGAUCAAGGUGGGGUUCUGUGACGCCUUUGUCUGGUCGUUGAACACAAACGAAGUACGCGAAGUUGCAGCUAUGGCGAACUUUUAAUCUAAACAAAACCCAAAGUCUAAACGAUGCCCUAAGGGCUGUAUAUAUGGAGGAAGAGGGGGGGAAUUUCGUGGCCCUUGGUGGAGGGGUCCGAAAUCAACCCUAUCUCUUGUUUCCCCACACAUACGGACUCUAAAAAUAGCCUGUACUUAUGUAUUUCGAAAUUACAUGGGCCUGGCCCAAUAAUAAGGUGACGCAGCACCUAAAAUAGCCUCGGGACGAAAUUUAUGAAGUGGCAUCUUGUAUAUUUCGUCCAAGGCUUCAUGCACCCAUUAUGGUGGCUUCAAAGUCCUGAAAUCAUCACUUGUAACUCCGUUCUUGUUCCCCUUGCGCAUGCCAUCAUCUCCAUGCUUGUUCUUGCUCCAAUGUUCAUCCUUCUCCAAGCUAGGCCCUUCAUUUGUAAGCAAAACAAAUGUAUCCAAUUUAGGCAGCAUCAUAUUCUCAUGAACAUUAGAAUCAUUACCAAGAAACGAAAGUACCUAGUAAUUUAGUUGGCGUGCACGGGCUCUAGUAAUUGGUCCAGUAUGUAUAGCAGCAGGGGCUGUGGGUGUAACAAUUGUAUUGAUGUCCUCAUCAAGACUCAUCGUCAUUGAAGCCUGGUUCAGGGGCUACUGAGGGAGUCAUGGAUUAGGGGGUCUCCGGACAGCCGGACUAUAUCCUUUGGCCGGACUGUUGGACUAUGAAGAUGCAAGAUUGAAGACUUCGUCUCGUGUCCGGAUAGGACUCUACUUGACGUGGAAGGCAAGCUAGGCAAUACGAAUAUGUAUAUCUCCUCCUUUGUAACCGACCUUGUGUAACCCUAGCCCCCUCUGGUGUCUAUAUAAGCCGAAGGGUUUUAGUCCGCAGGACAACAAACAAUCAUACCACAGGCUAGCUUCUAGGGUUUAGCCUCUCCGAUCUCGUGGUAGAUCAACUCUUGUAAUACUCAUAUCAUCAAGAAUAAAUCAAGCAGGACGUAGGGUUUUACCUCCAUCAAGAGGGGCCGAACCUGGGUAAAACAUCGUGUCCCCUGCCUCCUGUUACCAUCCGCCUUAGACGCACAGUUUGGGACCCCCUACCCGAGAUCCGCCGGUUUUGACACCGACAAGCGCCAUUCCUCAGCUCUUGCGCACUUGGUCGCCAUGUUGAACAUCUCUAGAGCCGUGCAUAGCUCCUCGUGGAUGGCGAGCUCCUCCUUCAUCUUGACAUCGCGGACGCCAUCAGAAAAUGCUAAGAUGAUGGCCUCAUCCGUCACCUUGGGGAUCUUGAGGCGAACGCUGUUGAAGCGCUGGAUGUACUUCUGCAGGGUCUCUCCUGGCUGCUGCUUGAUGCGGCAUAGGUCACCCGCGGCCGGAGGGCGGUCGCGAGUGCCCUGGAAGUUGGCGAUGAAGCGGUUGCGCAUCUCACCCCAGGAAGAGAUUGACCCCGGGGGCAAGUUCAGGAGCCAUGAGCGAGCAUCGUCCUUGAGAGCCAUGGGGAACCAGUUCGCCAUGACUUUCUCGUCACCGUUGGCCGCUUUGAUGCUCAGCUCGUAGAUCUGCAAGAACUCCGCAGGGUCGGGGGUGCCGUCAUAGUGAGGAGGCAGGUCUGGCUUGAACUUGCCUGGCCAGACAACACUAUACAGCUCCGGAGUGAAGGCGCGAUAGCCCGCUGUGGCCACCGGGGCCCUUUGCAGAGGUGGGGCCUACUCCUGAUGCCUGCGCACCGCCAUCGCAGGCGGCACGCGGUCUUGACAUGGUGGCGCCGGGAGUGCAGGAGCAUUUUCUUGUGGCCAAGGAACUUCUUGGCAGCUUCCUUCUUCGCGCGCGGGCGCCCGACACGGUGGGUCGCGCCGAGGGGCCGCGCGUCUUGGUGCUAGGGCGCCGUCUUGGUGCGGAGGUGGUGGAGGCGCUCCGUGGGCUACGUCACCCGCGACUGGAGGAGGGCGAGGUAGCAAGAGAGAAGGUGUGGGUGAGCCCCCAGUGGCGCUGACGAGCUCGGCGAUGCGGUCCAGCUAGUCCUCAUAGAGGUCAUCGACCGGGCAGGAGCGCAGGAGCUCGCGUGCCAUGAGCAGCGCGGCCUGUGUGUUCGUGGGCACGCGGCGAGCGUGGGACGAUAAGCCGGCCAGAGUCAGCGAUGGCGUGGCGAUGCGGCCGUCCCGCCGCACCGAGGGGUGUAGUGAAGAUGCUUGCUGCUCGUUUCCUGCCGGGCCGGUGGCGGCAUUGGUGGCGGGUGAUGGAGAACGACGGGGAGGCCCGCCAACAGGGGCUGUCUGAGCGACGUGGGCGGUCAGGGCGGCCCGGCGCUCAGCGUGAGCCCGACGCGUGGUGGAGUGUGGAUCAACGGAAGGAAAGUUUCAGCACCCCUACCUGGCGCGCAAAAUGUCAGAUUUCGGGUUCCGGCAAAACCCUUAGGUUCGAACUCUGGGGUGCGUACGAAGAUCUCUCCCUCUCCCUAGCUCACUCACUCACCACGAUCUCAAACCUCAGCUCGUCAAACUCGAAGCACAAGGGAUACAAGAGUGUAUACUGGUUGGGGCCACCAAUGUGGUGUAAUACCCUACUCCAGUGUGGUGUGGUGGAUUGCCUUGCACACUAAGGACGAACAAGUACAAGGGAAGAACAGCCUCCUGAGAGGAGGUGUUCUUAAGCUCGGUGAGCUGGUGCGUAUGAGGGUGAUGAGGACAUGACUACCUUGGAUACGACCAAAAAUAUUGCAUACAUGCAUAUUUGUCAGGUGAUUUCUAAUGCAAGCUAUUCAAUAAUCUAUUUAUGUUAUCCAGAACAAAAAUACUUCACACACUUUUGUGUUUUGUCUAAUUGCAGGUGUAUGGGACAUUUGUACAAUCCACAUAUGAAGAUAAGGGAAAAGGAGAAGUUUAGGUUGUGUUCAAAAAGUCCUCUCACGUCACUUUUGGGCCAAGAGAAGAUAGAGUCCAAGUCUCUCACGUUCUGGAUUCAGAUUCGGACUGCACAGACAUACCUGACUCAAAACGCCAACAACUUUUGAUAGAGGCAAAGGUGUCCCAUCUUUCGAUGAGAUGAUGGAUAUCGCUUUGGUGGAAGUCGACUUUGACGAUCCGACUACGAACGUGCGAGGACGUCGCGCCUUAGCAAUCGCUAAACCAACUCCGAGAGGUUAUUGACCACGCCGGAGCACGAUCAACCUGACCACGAGGGUCUGUUUCCUGCGAGCAAACGAAGAACAAGCAAGAAACUAAGAUUGCAAUCUGGAUAUUGCGAAUAUAAGAUGAAAGCUUUAUUGAUCAAGGUGGGGUUCAAUGACGCCUUUGUCUGGUCGUUGAACACAAACGAAGUACGCGAAGUUGCAGCUAUGGAGAACUUUAAUCUAAACAAAACCCGAAGUCUAAACGAUGCCCUAAGGGCUGUAUAUAUGGGGGAAGAGGGGGGGAAUUUCGUGGCCCUUGGUGGAGGGGUCCGAAAUCAACCCUAUCUCUUGUUUCCACACACAUACGUACUCUAAAAAUAGCCUAUACUUAUGUAUUUCGAAAUUACAUGGGCCUGGCCCAAUAAUAAGGUGACGCAGCACCUAAAAUAGCCUCGGGGCGAAAUUUAUGAAGUGGCAUCUUGUAUAUUUCGUCCAAGGCUUCAUGCACCCAUUAUGGUGGCUUCAAAGUCCUGAAAUCAUCACUUGUAACUCCGUUCUUGUUCCCCUUGCGCAUGCCAUCAUCUCCAUGCUUGUUCUUGCUCCAAUGUUCAUCCUUCUCCAAGCUAGGCCCUUCAUUUGUAAGCAAAACAAAUGUAUCCAAUUUAGGCAGCAUCAUAUUCUCAUGAACAUUAGAAUCAUUACCAAGAAACGAAAGUACCUGGUAAUUUAGUUGGCGUGCGCGAGCUCUAGUAAUUGGUCCAGUAUGUAUAGCAGCAGGGGCUGUGGGUGUAACAAUUGUAUUGAUGUCCUCAUCAUCCUCCCCUUCUUGAAAUGAAGUCGUCCUCGACGGAAGUUCAUCUUCCUCACCCAAAUAAGGCUUCAAAUCUGCAAUGUUAAAAGUGGGACUAACCCCAAAAUCUGUAGGCAGCUCAAGUUUAUAUGCAUUAUCAUUUAUUUUCUCUAACACCUUAAAGGGACCAUCAGCACGUGGCAUUAACUUUGAUUUGCGCAAAUCAGGAAUAUCCUUACGCAAAUGUAACCAAACAAGAUCUCCAGGUGCAAACACAACAUGUUUUCUACCCUUAUCUCUAGAAAGUUUAUAUUUAGCAUUCAUACGCUCAAUGUUUUCCUUAGUUAACUCAUGCAUUUUUAAAAUCAAUUCAGCAUGUUGUUUAGCAUCAAAAUUAACCUUCUCCGAAGAUGGAGGAGGCACCAAAUCAAUAGGUGCACGAGGUAGGAAACCAUACACAACUUCAAAAGGGCACAUCUUAGUAGUAGAAUGCAAUGAACGAUUAUAAGCAAAUUCAAUAUGAAGCAAGCAUUCCUCCCACAUUUUCUUAUUAUUCUUCAAAACAGCCCUAAGCAUAGUAGACAACGUUCUAUUGACUACUUCAGUUUGUCCAUCAGUUUGGGGGUGACAAGUAGUACUAAAAAGCAGUUUAGUCCCCAACUUAGCCCAUAAACAUCUCCAAAAGUGGCUAAGAAAUUUAGUAUCACGAUCUAAAACAAUAGUAUUUGGCACACCAUGCAAGCGAAUAAUUUCACGAAAGAACAAAUCAGCAACAUUAACAGCAUCAUCGCUUUUAUGACAUGGUAUAAAGUGUGCCAUUUUCGAGAAUCUAUCCACGACAACAAAUAUGCUAUCCCUCCCCUUCUUUGUUCGGGGUAAACCUAAAACAAAGUCCAUAGAUAUAUCCUCCCAAGGAACACUAGGUACAGGCAAAGGCAUAUAUAAACCAUGAGGAUUGAGUCGUGACUUAGCUUUUUGACAUGUAGUGCGGCGAGCAAUAAAACGCUCAACAUCCCGUCUCAUCUUUGGCCAAAAGAAAUGUGUAGCAAGUACGUCCUCCGUCUUCUUCACGCCAAAGUGUCCCAUUAAUCCUCCUCCAUGCGCCUCCUGCAACAACAAAAGACGAAUGGAGCUAGCUGGAAUGCAUAGCUUGUUAGCACGAAACACAAAUCCAUCGUUAACGACGAACUUGUUCCACAUUCUUCCUUCUUUACAAUUCUGCAUUACAUCUUUAAAAUCAGCAUCAUGCACAUAUUGAUCUUUGAUGGUCUCCAAACCAAAUAUUUUGAAGUCAAGUUGUGAAAGCAUAGUAUAGCGGCGAGACAAUGCAUCAGCAAUAACAUUUUCUUUUUCCUUCUUGUGUUUAAUGACAUAAGGAAAAGUCUCAAUGAAUUCAACCCAUUUAGCAUGUCUACGAUUCAGUUUAGCUUGACUUUUAAUAUGUUUCAAAGAUUCAUGAUCAGAAUGUAUAACAAAUUCUUUGGGCCUUAAAUAAUGUUGCCAUGUUUCUAAAGUCCAAACAAGAGCAUAUAAUUCUUUAUCAUAAGUAGAAUAAUUCAGACUAGGCCCACUCAAUUUUUCAGAAAAGUAUGCAACAGGUUUGCCAUCUUGUAAUAACACACCGCCUAAUCCAAUUCCACUAGCAUCACAUGCAAGCUCAAAAGUCUUAUUAAAAUCAGGAAGUUGGAGUAAAGGAGCAUGUGUCAACUUAUCUUUCAAUACCGAGAAGGCUUCUUCCUGUGCGGUACCCCAAAGAAAAGGCACAUCUUUCUUUGUAAGCUCAUUGAGAGGUGCAGCAAUGGUGCUGAAAUCUCUCACAAAACGCCUAUAGAAUCCAGCGAGGCCAAGAAUACUCCUCACUUGUGUGACCGUUUUGGGCUGCGGCCAACUCUCAAUAGCUUCAAUCUUGGCUUUAUCAGCUUCAAUUCCCUGUGGAGUAACAACAUAGCCAAGAAAAGAUACUCGGUCGGUGCAAAAGGUGCACUUCCCAAGGUUACCAAACAAACGUGCAUCACGUAGAGCAAUAAAAACAGCACGUAAAUGUUCCAAAUGUUCUUCCAAAGAUCUGCUAUAAAUCAAUAUGUCAUCAAAGUAAACUACCACAAAUCGUCCAAUGAAUGCACGUAAAACUUCGUUCAUUAAUCUCAUGAAAGUACUAGGUGCAUUAGUUAACCCAAAGGUCAUGACUAACCACUCAUAUAAUCCAAACUUAGUUUUAAAUGCUGUUUUCCAUUCAUCUCCCAAUUUCAUACGAAUUUGAUGGUAUCCACUACGCAAAUAAACUUUGGAGAAUAUUGUAGAGCCACUCAAUUCAUCAAGCAUAUCAUCGAUCCUAGGAAUAGGAUGACGAUAACGAAUAGUAAUAUUAUUAAUGCCUCUACAAUCAACACAGAUACAUGAUGUACCAUCCUUUUUCGGCACUAGAAUAAUAGGAACAGCACAAGGACUAAGGGAUUCGCGUAUAUAACCUUUGUCGAGAAGUUCUUGUACUUGACGCAUAAUCUCCUUCGUCUCCUCUGGAUUGGUACGGUAUGGUGCACGGUUUGGCAGUGAAGCACCGGGAAUUAAGUCAAUCUGAUGCUCAAUCCCUUGAAUAGGCGGUAAUCCCGGUGGCACGUCUUGUGGAAAGACGUCAGCGAACUCCUUCAAAAUGUUAGUGACAGCAGGAGGCAAAGAGGAAGGCACGUCCUCGAAUGAAAAUAAUGCCCCUUUGCACACAAAAGCAUAGCAAACAGAUUUGCUGAAAUCUAGCUCAUCGAUAUCAGAUUUGGUGGCAAAUAAACAUGCACUUUUCAAUUUAAUUUCAGAAGCAACACUAGAUGGUUUUUUAUUAGGCUUCAUUUGUUGCUCAAAUUCUUUUGCCACAAUCUGAUUUUCACUCUUAUUCAUCUCCUGUUGUGCUUUAUUAGCUCUUUUAAUAUCAUCUUUCAAAAUGGAAUCAGGAGUCAUAGGAAGCAAAGUAAUAUUUUUAUCCUUAUGAACAAGAGUAUAGUGAUUCUUUCUACCAUGGUGUACAGAAUUUUUAUCAAAUUGCCAUGGUCUACCAAGUAAUAAGGAACAUGCUUGCAUAGGUACCACAUCACAAUCAACAUAAUCAGCAUAUGUAGAGAUACUAAAACGCACACGAACAGUACGUGUUACCUUAACCUUGCCGCUGUUGUUGAACCAUUGGAUGUAGUAAGGAUGUGGAUGUGGUCUUGUGGUGAGAGAAAGCUUCUCCACCAUCUCCAUGCUAGCCAAGUUGUUGCAGCUCCCUCCAUCUAUGAUGACGCGCACAGAACGUUCUUUCACAACUCGCUUGGUAUGGAACAAAUUGUGCCUCUGAUUUUGCUCAGCUUGUGUGACCUGCACACUCAAAACACGUUGAGCAACUAAACAUUCAUACCUGUCAGCGUCUUCAGGAGCCACGUAUUGCGUCUCAUGAUCAGAAUCAUCUCCACCAUGUUCUUCACGUGUAAUAAGAGCCAAAGUCUCCUCAUCAUAGUCACUAGCGGACUCAUAUCCACCAUCCGCGGUAGCAAUCAUCACACGCAGAGAUUUGCAUUCUCUCGCAUAAUGACCUCCUCCCUUACAACGACGACAAAUAAUAUCACUUGUGUGCCCUGUUGAUGCCAUGGAAGAAGCAGAACUCUGUGCAGGCCCAGCAGGUGCGCUCUUGGCAGACAAUGGUGGUUGUGCCUGUUUUCUUGUAUCAUGACUGGAGGAGACACCUGAUUGAGGUGCUGGUGCAGUUGAAGUAGAAGAUGCACGCGGUGUCCAUGAUGAAGGUCGGCCUGCAGAAAAGUUAGUUCGCGCCAAUGCUUGUCGAUCCUGCACUUCACGUUCAGCUUUACAAGCAAGAUGGAAUAAACGAGUGAUAUUAGUAUACUCCUUAUAGUCUAGAAUGGUCUGAAUCUCUCUAUUUAAUCCACCCAGAAAACGUGCAAGCAUAGCUUCAUUCUCCUCAACAAUACCACAUCUAAUCAUGCUAGUUUGUAAUUCCUGAUAAUAUUCUUCUACAGAAUUUUUUCCUUGUCUUAAGCGCUGUAAUUUCUGAAGCAAUUCACGUUGAUAAUAUGGUGGAACCCAACGAGUACGCAUAGCAGUUUUCAAAGCAGCCCAAGUAGUUGGAAUAGGAUAUAAUCUACAAUGUUCAGACCACCACACACAUGCAAAACUAGUGAAAGCACAAACAGCGGCGGCAACCCGUCUCUCCUCGGGAUAUUGUAAACAUGUAAAUCGUUGUUCAGUUUCUAACUCCCAAGUAAGAUUUAUAUCAGGAACAUAUCUACCCUCGAAAGGUGGAAUAUUCAAUUUCAGUUUAGGAAGAUGGUCAUGAUCUCGUACCUGAGGGAAAGCCCUACCAUUGUGAUUAUUUGCAUGUGGACGACCUGGUGGUUGUGGUGCAGGUGGUUGCACGUAGUUCUGAUUUUGAGCAACCUCAUCCUCGUAAUCUCCCACAUAAUCAUCCUCCUCCGCAUCAGCAGCAGGAGCCACAGAAGUAUCAACAGCAGCACCAACAGUUUGGCCAAACGCAAGAGGAACACGGCUCGCUCGGCGGAGAUCUGUUUCGGGACGUGGAGGUAGUCGUUGUUCUUGUUGUUGGAGAGGUGCGUUAGGUGCAGCGGGUGGUGGUGGUGGAAAACGCGCGAGCAAUUCAUUAAACUUGUUAUCGAGCUUUGUUUCGAACGUCUUCUCCAUGCCAUCUAUCUUCUCCAUGGCCUCUUCAAAUCUGUUUAGCACAUCUUGCACCUGUCCACUCAUCAUUUGCUGAAAUUUAUCAUGCAAAUCCUUAUUCGUCAUGUUCUCCCAGUCAGUCUCGUCGGCUUGUGAUCCUGGCAUGGUUAGCAGCAAUAGAAACACACAAGAAUAUGAUCCUACAGACUACUAACAAGAGGUGGUGGUGGGUGUCACAAAUCCGUCAAGCAAAUCUCAAAUUCUUACCAGUUCUUACCCAACAGCAGGCGGUGAUCGGCAACCGUUGUAGUCAAAAACUCUCAAAACUUGGAUAGAGCGAUUACCAGGGAGAGUCAAACGCAGGACGUAGAUGUAUGUGGAGCUGGGAAGGCUUAUAAUAUGGUAGCAAAAAGGGUCAGCAAUAAUCAAUUCAGAGAUGCAAAGUUGAAUAAACGCUCAACGACGGUACUGUGCUGGUCCUAGGCUAGACUGUGCUAGAGACGCGAGCCUAGAACACCAACAAAAUCACGGCGCGACACGUAAACAAGGGAAAAGCAAACUCUGGAUUUUUUUUCGCGAUUUUUUUUGCGCUGCUUUUUUUUUGCGAAAAAUCACUAUAAUGGCGAGUGUCUCAAAACUCUUCCUAGGUCAAACUGACAGGAUGGGCACGAAAUUUUUUCGACCAAUUUUUUUUUUCGACUACCCGGACCCAAAAAGUGGAAACGGGUCAAAAAAAACUUCCUAUAAUGGCACCUGUCUCAAAACACUCAGAAACACCUAAAAAUAGGAUAGCCAGAAAUUUUUUCGAAAAUGCGUUUUUGAAAAAUUUUGGGCCUAAACGGAGCGUGGUUUCUGGACUCUUUUUUUUCCGAAACCUACUCCGGCAAGGAAACACGAAUCGGAAUCUAGAUGGAUCUCGAAAACAAACCUAAUAUGACAAGAACUCAGAUUGGUGGUGGAUAUAUGGUAGUAGAUGGCAGCGGUGGUGGUAUAUGACAGUGGUGGUGGUAUAUGGAUAUGGAUUCGAAGCGGUGGCGGAUAGGCGGCGGUGGUAGAUGGCAGGGGCGAUGAUGAUGGUGCGGCGGCGGCGUGACAACUUAUGACCAGAACUCGAAACUCUAAAAGACUAGACUCUAAGACCAGCAACUAGACACGAUGAUGCAACCGCAAAUUCAACAAAGCAAAACCCUAAAAAGAUUAUGCAAAGGCUCAGUGAUAGAGGCGAGGGUGUCCCGAUCUUUCGAUGAGAUGAUAACUAUCGAUUUGGUGGAGACGACUUUGACGAUCCGACUACAAACGUGCACGACGUUGCGCCUUAGCAAUCGCUAAACCAACUCCGAGAGGUUACUGACGAUGCUGGAAGCACGGUCAGCCUGACCACGAAGGUCUAUUCCUGCAAGCAAUCGAAGAACGAGCAAGAAUAUGAUAAAGCAAUCUGAAUAUUGCGAAUAUAUAUGAAGUAUUGAUAAUGGUGGGGAUCCGUAAGCGGUCUUGGUCUGGUCGUUGGACACAAACGAAGUACACGAAGUUGCAAUGGCUAACUUUUAACUAAACAAAUCCCAAGGAAAAAGCUACUAGAUGGAUCUACUUAUAUAGGAGCAAGGGGUGGCGGCCAAGGAGGUGGGAGGACGUCCCAAGGCAGCCUAAAACUAAUCCUAGGUCGUACAAGGCUCAUGGGCCCAAGUGGAGGUGAUGUAACACCUUUGGACUUGUAGUUUGACUCGGAUUCUGCUGCAGCAUCAGAUUGUUUCGUCCACAACUCAACGCUCCGGACGAAUUUGAAGGUGAUUCCAAUUGGGUUGGAAAGUGCACGAAAUCUAGUUUCCAACAAAAAACGAAUCACCCAAUUCGGAGUCCGUAUGAAAAACUUGUGUGCGUUUUGAGUCAGGUAUGUCUGUGCAGUCCGAAUCUGAAUCCAGAACGUGAGAGACUUGGACUCUAUCUUCUCUUGGGCCAGAAGUGACGUGAGAGAACUUUUUGGACAGCAAAUAAACAUCUCUUUCUUCCUUAUCUUCAUAUGUGGAUUGUACAAAUGUCCCAUACACCUGCAAUUAGACAAAACACAAAAGUGUGUGAAGUAUUUUUGUUCUGGAUAACAUAAAUAGAUUAUUGAAUAGUUUGCACUAGAAAUCACCUGACAAAUAUGCAUAUAUGCAAUAUUUUUGGUCAUAUCCAAGGUAGUCAUGUCCUCAUCACUCAGAUUGGUUUGGAUAUGAUGAACUAACCCUAAUUUUUUUUGUGGCUUUUUCGUGGACUGUAGGUAUGAAGAACAGACUCGAUCUAAACUACGAAAAACUGUAAAAUCUCACGGAGCAACCUGGAAAUCUGAUACCACUUGAUAGAGGCAAAGGUGUCCCGUCUUUCGAUGAGAUGAUGGAUAUCGCUUUGGUGGCAGUCGACUUUGACGAUCGGACUACGAACGUGCGAGGACGUCGCGCCUUAGCAAUCGCUAAACCAACUCCGAGAGGUUAUUGACCACGCCGGAGCACGAUCAACCUGACCACGAGGGUCUGUUUCCUGCGAGCAAACAAAGAACAAGCAAGAAACUGAGAUUGCAAUCUGGAUAUUGCGAAUAUAAGAUGAAAGCUUUAUUGAUCUAGGUGGGGUUCUGUGACGCCUUUGUCUGGUCGUUGAACACAAACGAAGUACGCGAAGUUGCAGCUAUGGCGAACUUUUAAUCUAAACAAAACCCAAAGUCUAAACGAUGCCCUAAGGGCUGUAUAUAUGGAGGAAGAGGGGGGAAUUUCGUGGCCCUUGGUGGAGGGGUCCGAAAUCAACCCUAUCUCUUGUUUCCCCACACAUACGGACUCUAAAAAUAGCCUAUACUUAAAUUUUCGAAAUUACAUGGGCCUGGCCCAAUAAUAAGGUGACGCAGCACCUAAAAUAGCCUCGGGGCGAAAUUUAUGAAGUGGCAUCUUGUAUAUUUCGUCCAAGGCUUCAUGCACCCAUUAUGGUGGCUUCAAAGUCCUGAAAUCAUCACUUGUAACUCCGUUCUUGUUCCCCUUGCGCAUGCCAUCAUCUCCAUGCUUGUUCUUGCUCCAAUGUUCAUCCUUCUCCAAGCUAGGCCCUUCAUUUGUAAGCAAAACAAAUGUAUCCAAUUUAGGCAGCAUCAUAUUCUCAUGAACAUUAGAAUCAUUAACAAGAAACGAAAGUACCUGGUAAUUUAGUUGGCGUGCACGAGCUCUAGUAAUUGGUCCAGUAUGUAUAGCAGCAGGGGCUGUGGGUGUAACAAUUGUAUUGAUGUCCUCAUCAGGACCCUUGCCUCUAUCAAGUUGAAGAAGCAAGUUCAAUUUUUGGCACCUCAAAAUCGUCUUCUAAAUAGGUCUUUUUGCCCUCCGAAGUUCAUGAACACAGCUUAUUCCAGUUUUUCAGGCCAGUUUUCAAAUUUUUUGACUCCUCAUAUCAACUCGGAAUUGAGUGAUUCCAUUUGUGUUUGAAAGCUUGAGUCAAUAUCAUUCUUAAAAAAAAUCAAAAAAAUCGGCACAAACUUUUUCAGAGGAAAGUUGGAGACAAAGUUGUUGAUAUAUCCUGCUUGGCUGUUGUUUCACAUCAUUAUCUUUACUGCCGUUGUGAUCUUCACUUAUAUCUUGCUGUCCAGAGCUACUUAGUAUCCUUCAUUGAUGCUAUUUGUGCUACAACGUGACCUCAUUAGUGUUCUAGGCUCGCGUCUCUAGUUCGGUCUAGCUUAGGACCAGCACAGUACCGUCGUUGAGCGUUUAUUCAACAUCGCAUCUCUGAAUUGAUUAUUGCUAAUCUUUUGCUACCAUAUAUAGCCAACCCAGCUCCACAUAUUUCUACACCGUGUAUAGUACGUUCCCCUGGCAAUCGCUUUACACAAUCUUCAGAGUUAUUUGACACCGCUGGUUGCCUGUCACCACCUGCUGCUUGGUAAGAACUUGUAAGAUAUUGAUAUUUGCCUUACUGUGAGCUCUUUACCACCACACCCUAGUAGUUCAUAGGAACAUUAUUCUUGAAUUUUGUUUCUUGUUUCUACUAAUCAUGACAGGUUCCGAAGAUAAAAAUUCUUGGACGACGGACACAUCUUCACCAUCACGAGAGUUGGGACAACACACACAAGCACAUGGUCAGGUUAUCUUUUUACUGUCAUUUGAGGGUAGAUUUAAUCCUACUACUUAUCUAGCUUGGGAACUUGAAGUAGAACAAGUUUUUAGUCACCAUGACUUUUCUGAACUUGUGCGAGUGCGAGCAGCCACUAGAGCAUUUACUGAUUUUGCUUCUGUUUGGUGGAGUGUACAUUGUAAGAAAAACAUUGAUAACCAACCCACAACUUGGAAAGUUUUGAAAGCUGUAAUGAGGCAACAAUUUUUCCCUCCUUAUUAUCGUCGUGAAUUGCUUCGCAAAUUUGAACAAUUUAAACAAGGCAACAACACUGUUCAUGCUACCAAGAGUUCAAAUCUUAUAUGCAUCAUUGUGACAUAGAAGAAUCUGAGAAUGAUACAAUGAAUAGAUUUUUUGGUGGUUUGAACCAUGAUAUUCAGGCAAGAUUUCAGUAUAUUCCUCGUUGCAUUACUGGUAUGUAUGUCCGUGCUUGUACCUUUGAGACAGAUACAUGAGGAUGCAUUAGGUGACUACAACAACUACUAUUCCAGUUCAUGCUCACCACCGCCGGUGGGUUCCUCCAUCAUUGCACCUCGGAUUAUGAGCGCGACAUUAUCUCAAGGGUAUGGUACAUUGUCAACGUCCGUACCUACAUCAGCUACAUCUUUGCCACAAGGUAACAGUAAAGAUAUUGAUGAUAUAACUUCACAUGAGAAUGAUGCAUGCCUAGUUAACUUGAAUGCGUCAUGUAUUGAGUUACCUGUUGAUUUGAGCACACCACCUUUUUUAAAGAGUGAUCAAACAAUUGAAAUAUGAACAAUUUUGAGUGCACCCAUUGAAUUAACUGUUGAUGCAAAAGAACUAAUGUUUAAUCAUUUUGAUAUGGCCUCCAAUCUUGGUGGUGAUUCUGUGUCCAAUGACUUAUUGCAUGUUUGCUUAUUUAAGCAUGUUGUAGCAUGUAAAUUUGAUGCAAGUAAGGUUUAUUCACCAAAGUUGGGAUGGUUUAAGGAUGAACAUUGCGAAUCUUUUGAAAUGAAUAAGAGCUUCACUUAUAUGUGCAAACUGAGUUCUAAUAUUUUCAUGCCUUCUACUUCUUGUGAUAAUUUUUUGGCUUUAGUUUUUAUGAACUAUGAAAGUUACUCAUGUAUACAUGUGUCAUACGUGCAAAAAUCAAGGGAAGUUAAACUGGAUGACAUAUACAUAUACAACAUGUACACCUUGUCUCUUUUGUUAGCCACAUUUCAGAUUAAGCAACGCCGAGGACGGCUUUGUUUUCAAAAAGGGGAGGAUGAUGAGGACAUGACUACCUUGGAUACGACCAAAAAUAUUGCAUACAUGCAUAUUUGUCAGGUGAUUUCUAAUGCAAGCUAUUCAAUAAUCUAUUUAUGUUAUCCAGAACAAAAAUACUUCACACACUUUUGUGUUUUGUCUAAUUGCAGGUGUAUGGGACAUUUGUACAAUCCACAUAUGAAGAUAAGGGAAAAGGAGAAGUUUAGGUUGUGUUCAAAAAGUCCUCUCACGUCACUUUUGGGCCAAGAGAAGAUAGAGUCCAAGUCUCUCACGUUCUGGAUUCAGAUUCGGACUACACAGACAUACCUGACUCAAAACGCCAACAACUUUUUCAUACGGACUCCGAAUUGGGUGAUUCUUUUUUUGUUAGAAACUAGAUUUCGUGCUCUUUCAACCCAAUGGGAUUCACCUUCAAAUUCGUCCGGAGCGUUGAGUUACGGACGAAACAAUCUGACGUUGCAGCAGAAUCCGAGUCAAACUACAAGCCCAAAGGUGUUGCAUCACCUCCACUUGGGCCCAUGAGCCUUGUACGACCUAGGGUUAGUUUUAGGCUGCCUUGGGACGUCCUCCCACCUCCUUGGCCGCCACCCCUUGCUCCUAUAUAAGUAGAUCCAUCUAGUAGCUUUUUCCUUGGGAUUUGUUUAGUUAAAAGUUAGCCAUUGCAACUUCGUGUACUUCGUUUGUGUCCAACGACGAGACCAAGACCGCUUCCGGAUCCCCACCAUUAUCAAUACUUCUUAUUUAUUUGCAAUAUUCAGAUUGCUUUAUCAUAUUCUUGCUCGUUCUUCGAUUGCUUGCAGGAAUAGACCUUCGUGGUCAGGCUGACCGUGCUUCCGGCAUCGUCAGUAACCUCAGGAGAUUGGUUUAGCGAUUGCUAAGGCGCAACGUCGUGCACGUUUGUAGUCGAAUCGUCAAAGUCGUCUCAUAGUUAUCAUCUCAUCGAAAGAUCGGGACCCUCGCCUCUAUCAGAGGGUGGAAUGGAUCCGAUCCUAGCUCCUCCUCCUAUGGUGGAGGCUAGUCCUAUUUAUAGAGGCCAUGGUCCUCUUCCCAUAUAUUAGGAGGGAAGGGAUCCCACAACGGCCAAUUUGAAGGGGGACAACUAGUACAAGCUAUCCUGACAAAAGGUGGUCUUCGCCUGCCAAAGGCUCUGGUGGUGACGCCGUUGUGGGCUCCGCGAUGACCUCCGUCCUGCCGGUCUUGGUCUUGUUGCACCGAUAUGGAAAUCUUUGCUUGAUGCCUCGGGACUCCUCGCUUGUGCUUGCUCCUUUAGCACCAAAGAGGAAACCAGUACUCUACGCCCGCUGGCGCCCGCCUAGCCUUGAUCGUCAUGGCUGACGUCACAGAAACCUCAUGAGGUGCCCCUCGCCUUGAUCUCUCCACUCCUCGCAAGCAAGCCUAGCGAGGCUGCCCCUGAGGAGGUCUUGUGUCGUCCGCCUCGCAAGGCUUGGCCCCUCGCGAGGGUCUUGAGUGUUUGCUCGUGAAGAUGGGCCGUGCCAGGCCGCUAGAGGAGCCAUGCCGUGGGCUGCAGGCAGGCAAGUCUGGGGACCCCCGUUCCCAGAACGCCCAUAAUAUGCAAUCACUCACAUAGCUGCCGAGAUUUUUUGAUAUGCACUAAAUCCCUUCUAGCCCACGGCAUUUUUUCUUUGAGUAAAAUACCAACAAUUUGCCUUGCAAGGUUGAACAGUUUUCACAAAGAGGGAUGAGCGCAUUCGGUACCUUCUCCGGAAGACAUGCGGUGGAUAUGUUGGAUUCUUCGCGAAGUAGUCUUGCAUCAACAUCUCGUUCCCGAGAUGGCGAUUUCGAGGAAUGCAAAGACGCUCGACGGUCGAUCCUCGCCGCCUCUUUCAGUUCUCGUGUUUGUGCUCCUUCACGACAAGAUCCAUCACCAAUGUCAGCUGCUGAUAGUUUGCAAGCAACGUCUCAACAUCCGAGCCGUCUGAAUCGGGCGAAUCGUCGAGCAAAAACUUCUCGCACGGGCUCAAUUCCAUCUACAUGAACAAAAAACGCACGGUGCGUCAACCAACUAUGCAUAGAGCUCGGCACAAAGCACAAGCAAACACUAACCGACAGCUCGUCGAGCGGGCGAUCCCGGGCGGCGACUAGGAGCGGCGACGAGGGGCGGCUCGAGGGCGGUCGAUCCCCGGCGGUGACGGCGACCAGGGGCGGCUCUUCUCACCGGAUCUGGGGGGCGGGGCGGUGGAGCGUAUCCAUAGUGGAGAGUGGGGGACGCCCUCGCGGCGUGAUUCCACCCGCAGAUUUGGCUGGAAUCACCGGCGGUGGCGGCAUAAGGAGGUGGGGAAGGGGCGCGGGCUGAAAUGUCCCUCCCGUGAACUGCUUCCCUGCGAUACGGGGCACCGUAGGGGCGAGGCGGAAACCUGCGUAUUCGCGGGUUGGGGCAGAGAUUUUGCCGCGCCCCUUCAAAAUUUUUACGGGCCGGCCACGUUUGCGGGGUCUGUUCGGGCGGGAUUUUCCGCGCUGACCCGCAUUUUGGCGGUUAUUUUGCGGGUCGGGGAGGUCUGCUAGAGUUGCUCUUAUCCAAACUAAAGUCUGCCCUUUCCUCUCCGCCUCGAUCGCCAUCGCCCCACUCCUAGUUCUCGCCUGUUUCACAGUCCACCACUAUGAUGGAGCUGGUCGAGAUGGUGGUCGUCAUGCCAGAGUCAGAGGACUAAUCAGUGGUGGCCGCCUACAAGGUAACCCGUGAUACGCAUAGCCCACCACCACAAACAAAGGAAGGAGGACGCUUUGGUGGCGGUAUGUCAUCCGGUACCACCUCUGGCAAAGCGUGUAAAUCGACGGGUGAUAGUGUCCUAGAGUAGGGGUACUCAUCACAUCGUCUCCCGACCAGAUGGGUCAGGUUGAGGACCCCCAUGGUGAUUGACUAUUUGGCUUCUUCAUGAAGCCCAUGACAUAUACAAGGAAGGUUUCACAAGACUUGACACAGAGGACUCUUGUUAUCCUAGGCCUUCGGUGCAUUAUAUAAACUGAGGCCAAGCUACUCAAUAGAUCACUACAACUUAGAUCAUUAGAAUCCUACACAACAAUAUCGUGAUAGAUACUUGUACUCUGUACCAUAACCGCAUAUCAAUACAAUCAAAAGCAUGACGUAGGGUAUUAUCUCUUUGAGAGAGCCCGAACAUGGUAAAAUCAUGUGUCCAUGUUACCAUCACUCCAAGUCACCUAGCUCGGGACCCCCUGCCUAAGAUCUGCAGGAUUUAGCUCCGACAACAGGUUUCGGUCGAGCGAUCACUGCGGGCUAUAUCACCAUCCUACUAUGCCACCCAUUAGCUCUCUUCGCUACAACAGUUUGUGUUCACCAUCACCGCUGGACAUCAAGUGUGGUACAAUGUCAACCUCAACGCAGAGUACACCUUCACGAGACAUUAGAAGUUGUUGGCGCUUAUCUGUUUGCGGAUGCCAACUAUGUAUCCCUUGCCCUUUGGUGUCUGGUCUCUCUGUUUGUCGGAUUUUCUCAACAGGGCCCAAUGACAAAUGUGGAGGAGGCACCGAUGAACAUGAUCCAUGACACUGGUGGACAUGAAACAAGCAGGUGGAGCACUCCUAGUAGGAGCCGAAAACCCAGCAAACGCACACCUAGAUGUCAGACUCCCAGCUGACACAGACUCAGCCAAUGCACACCUAACAACUGGACAACGACUAACCCAAUGGUGAUCCGGACGACAUUUGGGUGCCAGAUGCGGACCCAGAGAAGAAGAGGGAGAAAAUUUCAACUUGAAGGAGGAUGAAUUGUUGGCUAAUGUUUGGUUGGCCGCAAGCAUUGAACCGAUUCAUGGUACGGAGAAAAUGGGGCACCCUUUUGGACAAUGGUGCAUGCUUGGUUCCAUGAGCACAAGCAGAUAUCGCAAAGAACCGAUCUAUGAGUGCAAUGCAAAGGGGCUCUCUAAUCGAUGGUACACCAUUCAACAGACCACAAGAAGGUAUUGUGGUUUUUACAAACAAUUGCAAAUUUGGUGACCAAGUGGCACGACAAUCCAAGAGAUUGUAGAGUUUUUCUUGCUCUAUGUGUGUUGGUCAUUUGGCCAGAUAUGCUCUACGUGUCGAUCAUUUGGUUGGAUAUGCUUUGUGUGUUGACCAUGUUUUUUUUUCUAGGUGGGUUGUGCGUGCACAUUGGUACGGAGAAUAAGCACUUCGUCUACAUGCGUUUUUGGUUGAAGUUCAGUGUGCACCCCAAGUUUCUCAAUGUCGUUUCAAAUUCCGUCAAGACCGUCGGCACUGCCAAUGUAGAUGAACUUGGUCAUCCAACGAAAGGAGGCCUUGCUCCAGCCAAAAGGAUGGCUAGGAAGUGGGAGUGGAAGAAGAAGAAGCGAGAAGGGGCGACAACCAAGAUCACAGGGAGGUUCGAGGACAUCAUCGUGAAGAAGGAGGAGGCAUGCGUCAUGUGCAAUGACGUGAAGGAGGAAAAGAAUACCGAGAGGUUUGCACUUCAUGGUGGCACGAUGAUGUCUUGCAAGUGUACAAGGCUUUGUAGAAAUUUCAUGAUAAGUAAUGUCUGUCGAUCCCACAGGGAGUGAAUAGGAAGGCACCACAAAACCGCAGCUAUGUCAUCACUUACACAGAUCCGUACGCACCCAAACCGAAGUUUGGAAAUAAUCUACUUUAGUCGGUAGCUAGGUACACAAGUAAAAAGGGAGUUUCGUUAAACUAUAAACGAAAAGAUAAAAGACGGAAAAUAAAAGGGACUAAACUAAGUGGAGUGGUACUUGACUAGUAAAGCAUUCUCGAGGGAUCCAGAGUCAUCACCACAAGUAUGAUCCUGGCAACACAUGCGAAAGCAUAGCUCUACGUUCAUAUCACUAAUCACUCGAUACGAUUAUGCAUGGGAGGAGACAAAUAAAGGUACAUGUGAAUCCGCGGUAGUCACGUAUAAUGCGCGUCACCACCGGUGUGUUCCAACUCUGUUGACCAUAGAAGUGAUUAAGGGUUUCCCAUGAACACGACAUAAACCUUUAGGGUUCUCAGUUACUCCCUGUUGCAAUGAUCCGGGAAAAAGGGAGGUAACAUACAUUGUCACUACAAACCUCCGUAAAGACCCUUUCACACUAGUAAUUCCCUUAAGUUCACAAGGGUUCAAAUAUUGAGUGAGUGCUCUUCACAACACCAUGGGGAAAUCAAUGCAACAAAUAAAGAGAAUGAUCGGACCUCUUAUUAAACAUCAAGUGCUAAUCAUGCAAGGGUUCAGCCAAAUCCUCAAGAACUAGUACAAAGGAGCCGGUGUACGAAGGAGCAGGGCGGUGAUACAUCUCAGAUGUAUCUAUAAUUUUUUACUGUCUCAUGCUACCAUAAUAUCACUUUUGUAUACUUUUUACAGCAAUUUGUAUAAUUUUUCUUGACUAACCUAUUUAUUUAGUGCCUAGAGCUAGUUGCGUUUUCUAAAUGAUUUUGGUUUUUCAGGAAACCAAUAUCUACGUGGGUCGAAGUAUCAUGGGGAUUUGAUACAAUUUUUUUCCAUCAAGAAGAGUCUAGAAAGUAUCAGGGCUAGCCAAGGGUUGACCCGUGCCCCAAGGCCAUGUGGGCCUCCUAUUCACUGCCUUAGCUCCAUUCUUCCGCACAUAAAUAACAUUUGUGAAAAACCCUCAAGACCAAUACUCUCCGAUAUUUUCCAUCUCAACAAGUUUCUGUUCCGAGGAGAUCCAAUCUGGAGGCCUAUUCUGGCACCCUGCCGGAUGGGGAAUCUAUCAUCAGAGGCUUCCUCAUCAAACUUGCUGCCUCCAUUACUGAUGGUGUCUUGGAUUAGGGGGUGCUAACCUAGUCGGCCCAUGUUCCUCGGAUUGGGCCAAUGGGCCCUCAUUCAUGAUCAAGAUGGAUUCCGGAGGCCAUACGUAGGAGGCGUGAUCAAGACUACCUCCAUCGAAGACUUGAUGUAUACUCCAAGAUUCACUACAAAAAAACACACAUAUGCGAGGCGCCCGCUAACUGAACCCUUGCGAGGCAUUCUCUUACUGAACCCGAGCGAUUGCACUAGCUAGCUAUGUACUGAACAUGAGGGAUCAAACCCACUACGCACUAAAGCCGAUCGAUCCAUCCCUUAGCUGCUAACUAAAACUGAGCGAUUCCUUCGCUCCUGACUAAAGCCGGUCGAUUCCUUUCCUGCUAACUAAAUCUGAUCGAUCCUUCUCGCUGCUCACUUAAGUCGAUCGAGCCCCCAUGCAAGAUGUAGCCAGCCAGUGCGAAGGGUUGCCUUUGGAUGAACAAUGCCCAUUGCUGCUGUGCGCGCGAUACGUAGAAACGAGUCGAGACGUGUGUAAGUGCAUCUAGUGCCCCUUAGUGAUUUUGGUGUAUUGAAGACUUAUAGGUUAAGGGACUAAUGCGUGUGUGAGUGUACACAGGUCUAUAAGUCUAUGAGGAGUUUGAUAUUUACAGGAAAAGUCGACCCCUAAAAAUGAAUAUCUUUGACUGAAGAUUUUGGUAUUUCUGAAGACUUUCAUGAAGACUUUGAAAGUGAAGAAAUUGGUGUGUCCGUGAAGACUUGAUAUUCAUGCGAGAAAUAUGAAGCUUGAAGACUUCCAUGUUCAUAGUCUUGUUUUUCUCUUUCUUGAGUCAUAGGAAACACCGUACUGUUAAAGGGGGUCGAGGAAAUACUAAGGACAAAUUUCCAUGUGAUGCUCAACUCAAAAUCUUACACCUACCAAUCCCUUCGAGUGAAGCCAUUGGAAAUCUCAUACAGUUCAGUCAAUUUCUUCAGUGACAGAGACGAAGUUCUUCUGGUCUUUGAGGAAUUUGUCCUGACUGAGGAGUUAGGAAUUCGCCAGUGCGGAUUGCCUACACAGUGAGGAACAUGAUAGCCCUGAGGAUUUUACUACUCAAAUUCCGACCGUUGCUGUGCUAUGCGCCAGCUGUCCCAAAAUAUCUAUCCACCUAACGGUCAUAUCAUUGAAGGGCAUUUAUGUCUUAUCAUGUCGAGCUGCUCCAUAGGCUAUAAAUAGCCGCCCCCUAUAACCACUAGCUGGUUGGCUGCUCCGAGAGAAACUGACACUUGUCAUUUGAGAGCAACCCAUCCUCCGAGGACUUUGAGCGAAAAUCAUCAAGUGAGGAAAAACCAAAAACCCAAACCCAAACACCUACAAACCCCAAGUGAUUGAGCAUCACUGAAGAGAUUGAUCCUGAGUGGAUCCGACGCUUGUUACCUUUGAAGACUGUGCUUCUUCCAGACGGUUAGGCAUCGUGGUCUAGAGCAUCCAAGAGGAAUUGUGGAUCGCCGAGUGACCAAGUUUGUGAAGGUUUGGAAGUCGCCUGAAGACUUACCACGAGUGAUUGGACGAGGUCUAUGUGACCUUAGUUCAAAGAGAAUACGGUGAGGACUGGGUGUCUUGGACUAAGUGUCCUUGACUGGGUGUCCUGGACUGUGUGUCCUCGAGUUUAAAUACUCAGCCGCUCCAACCAGACGUACAACUGAGACAGCAGUUGGAACUGGUCUACCAAAUCAUUGUCUUCACCGAGCUUACUGGUUCUAUUUCCUCAACUCUUUCAUUUCCUCAUAACUGUGCUGUAUGUUUGUUCAUAUCUAUGUUUGAAGACUUUGACUGAAGACUUUCUCAAUUUCCUCAGUUCAAUUUCUUCAGUCUGUUUGUCUUCAUCCUGUGUUAUCCUGUGAUUACGCUUCCUGUACUCUGUGCUUGUCUUCAUUUCAUCAUGAUGACUAUGCUUGUAUUCUGUUGUGUGUACUUUUGAGUACUUAUUCCGCUGCUAGUAGUUCUUCGCUAAGGAAUUUCCUCACCAGCAAAUUCCUCAGUGAAGAAUUUCAUAAAAAUAGCCUAUUCACCCCCCUUCUAGUCGAUAUAACGCACUUUCAAUUGGUAUCAGAGCAAGGUACUCCCUUGUUCUAUGUGAUUUUGGUUUAACCGCCUGGAGUUUUAGUUAUGUCGACCGCAGGUAUGAUCAAGGUCUCUGCAGGGUGUCCUACCUUCGAUGGGACGGACUACCCCUACUGGAAGAAUAAGAUGUGAAUGCAUCUUGAAGCAAUUGAUAACGAUCUCUGGUAUGUUGUGGAAAAUGGUGUUCCCUCAGUCACACCUUCUCUGAAUGCUGCCGAUGUGAAGAGAUUCAAGCAACUCGACUCUCAAGCGAAGAAUAUCAUAUGUGGCCAUCUGAGCAAAGGAUAGUAUGGCAGAGUGAGUGCUUUGGAAAUAGCAAAGCUUAUCUGGGACAGGCUGUCCAAAGUGAAUGAAGGAGUCUCAACUCAGCAUGACUCUCGAGUUGAUGUUCUUCGCAAUCUCUUCAACCGCUUCAAAAGACUCGACAAUGAAAAUGUUCCACAAACCUUCGAUCGCCUCACUGACAUCUCAAAUGAGCUUCAAGCACUUGGUGCCACUGACAUCACCGACCAUGAGGUGGUGAAGAAAUUGCUGAGAUCGCUUGAUUCCUCAUUUGACACUCUGGCAUUGAUGAUACAAGACGUGCUGAUUACAAGUCACUUGAUCCCGCUGAUAUUCUUGAGAGGCUAAAUACUCAUGAGUUCCAACUUGCUGAAAAGAGAGAUCUCUAUGGUUCAAGCUAUGGCAGAACACGUGCACUGAAGGCCAAGGCAGUAUCUGAGUCCGAAGAUGAAGACUCUGGUAGCAGCCUUGGUGAUCCUGAAGAAUUGAGCCAUGAUCUAGCUCUGCUCGUGAAGAAGUUCCAAAAGUUCUCAAGACGUGGUCGCCUUGGAAGAUCCUCAAGGAGCAAUGAUUCCUCAUCCAGUGACUACAAGAAGAGGCUCUGUCACAAGUGCAAGAAACCUGGACAUUUCAUUCAAGAUUGUCCUCAGUGGGAAAAGGAAUCAAAGAAGAAGAAAUACAAGGAUUACAGUUCUGAUGAUGCAAAGAAAAAGAAGAAAUCCACAAAAUCCUCAUCAUCAAAAUCCUCAAAGCCUUCAUAUCACAAGAAGAGCAGCUCCAAGAAGGCCAGGGCAUUCAUUGGCAAGGAAAUGGACUCUGAGGCUGAAUUUGAAGAAAAUGAGGAAGAGGAGUCAUCUGAGGAGUCCGAAUCCGGAGUGGCGAGCCUAGCUCUCACUACUGCAUUUGUCAGCAAGUCUAUCUUCAACACUGAAGAAAACGACCUCACCAACAAGGCUGAUGAAGGCGACGAUGACUAUGCUCCCACCUAUUGCUUCAUGGCAAAGGGUGCCAAGCUACUCAAAUAUACCUCCUCUGAAUCAAGUGAGAAUGAAUCUGAUGAAAACCUUAAGCCCAGCUAUUCUAAACUUGCUAAGAUUGCUAUAAAACAAAAAAGGGCUUUAGAAAAGGUUCAAAACAUGCUAAAUAAAAGUGAUGAUAUGUUGGGUGAAGAAAUGGAUCGCACUGAAACUUUGACUGAAAAUCUUCAGAGACUUCAGUCCAAGCUUGACAAACUUCAAAGUCAUCAUAACACUCUCUUAUCGGAUCAUGAGAAGCUUUCUUAUGAAUUUCUUCAAAGAAAGCAAGACCUUGAGAAGCUAAGAGUGAGUUAUGAAGAUCUUCAGAAGGAGCGCGAUUCAUUACUUGCUCAACAAAUCAGCGCAUCUCAGGAAGAAUUUGUUCCUCCAUGCUUGAAGUGCAUUGAACGUGAAUCUGCUAAUUCUUCACCUGAAUGUUCAAAUGCCACUAAUGUUUCAAAUUCUUCACAUGACUCUGCUAUCACUAAUUCCUCAUAUGAGGACAUUGCUAGUAUCACUGACAAUGCAGGGCUGAAGGAAUUGUACACGACAAGCAUGUACAAAAGCCUCAAAGGGCAUCAGGCUCUUUGUGAUGUGCUUAAAAACCAGAUCCUCAAUAGGAACCCUAGGAAAGAGGGUAUCGCCUUUGAGAGGAAACUCAAUGCUGAUGGUACAUAUUGGAAGCCUGAGCAGUACCCCAAAACUACAUGGGUUGCUGCAAAGGGACCUCCAGUUGAUCCAUCUAACUUAUCUGGAUUUGCAUGUGAAUCUCCACAUUCUGAUGAUGAGUCAAUUGACUCCAACUAUAAGCUAUUCAAAAAUCAGAAUGGUGAAGUAUUUGCUAGAUAUGUUGGCACUAACUGCAGGAACGGCUCCCCGAUGAAGAAAAUCUGGGUUCCCAAAAGAUGCCUUGAAAAUCUUCAGGUGAAUGUCAUCAUGACGCCACCUAUGAAGAAUAGGAACCCCAGAUCAAAUUCCUCAUACGGACCAAAUUCCUCAUAUGGAUCAAAGUCCUCAUAUGAACAUCAUCAUGCUAACCCGUCUGUUUCGCAGGGAAGAUCUAAGGAUUAUGGAUAUGUGCAUUAUUCUUCAAAUCAUUAUGUCCAUAAGUCCUCGAAGAAUUUCUCUGCUUACUCAUAUGCUUACUCUAACCCAUCUUAUGUGAAACGAAAUAGAUUGGCUUCUAUGCCAUCCUUCUCGUAUGGAGCUCGUAGAAUGAUGAACUCUUUGCCACCCCUUCAGAUGUGGGUGGUGAAGAAAAAGAACUAAUCUCUUCUGCAGGGUCAAGUCUCCAGACGCACGUAAUCGUCUGAAGAAUUUGCUGGAGACCUGAGCAUGCCUGAUAGGACGCAGGCUAAUCAUGAAGAAAUGAACUUUCAUUUCUCACGUCCUCAUAUUGCUUUAUCAGUUCUUUUACUUGAUGAAAUUGAUCUGAUGAAUUGAUGUCAUAUUCUUCACUGAUGAAGUAUAUGAGUUUGUAAGCUGCACUAAUUCAUCUGCAAGAUGAUCAACCCAAAGCCACUGAGUGGGUCCUUGAUAGUGGAUGUACAAACCACAUGACUGGUGACAAGAAUUUAUUGAUGGAUGCUCCAUUAUCUCCGUCGCAUCUGAAGCAUAUCAUCUUUGCUGACAAAGGCAAAAGUCAGGUAUUGGGUCUAGGUAAGGUUGGGAUUACAAAGGAUCGACACAUGGACAAAAUCAUGCUUGUUGAGUCCUUAGGAUACAACCUUAUGUCUGUCUCAAUGCUUUGUGAUCUUGAUAUGGUUGUUGUCUUUGUUAAGUACCGUUGUGUUGUGGUUAUGGAAGAUGACAAUUCCAAAGUCUUCGAAGGCUUUAGGAGAGGAGACCUGUAUAUUGUUGAUUUCUCUACAGGACCACAACCAGCCGUUUGCUUACUUGCAAAAGCUUCAGAAGGCUAGCUCUGGCAUCGACGACUUGGUCAUGCAGGCAUGAGGAAUUUGCACACGCUUGCAAGAAGAAGCAUGUCAUUGGCAUCGAGAAUGUCAAAUUCCUCAAGGAUCACCUAUGCGGAGCCUGUGAAGCUGGGAAGAUGACCAAGGCCAAGCAUCCAGCGAAGACUAUCAUGACCACCACUCGCCCAUUUGAAUUGCUUCACAUGGAUCUCUUUGGUCCUAAUCAUUAUUCUGCUAUCUCAAAUGAAGCAUCUCAACAUGGCUUCGUUAUUGUUGAUGAUUAUUCUCGUUACACAUGGGUACACCUUGUUACUUACAAACAUGAAGUGCAGGAAGUCUUCAAACGAUUUUCCUUGAGGGCUUCAACCAACUUCGGUGUGAAGAUCAAGCACAUCAGAAGUGACAAUGGCACUGAGUUCAAGAAUUCUGGUCUCGAUGACUAUCUUGAUGAACUUGGUAUCACUCAUGAGUUAUCUGCUCCUUACACUCCUCAGCAGAACGGCGUCAUGGAGCGCAAGAACAGGACUCUUGCUGAGAUGGCUCGCACUAUGCUUGAUGAAUACAAAAUGCCUCGUCGUUUCUAGACUGAGGCAAUUGAUACUGUGUGCCAUAUCAUCAACAGAGUAUAUCUUCACAAAUUCUUCAAAAAGACUGCCUAUGAACUCCUCACUGAUAAGAAACCCAAUGUAAGUUAUUUCAAAGUCUUCGGUGCUAAAUGUUGGAUUAGAGAUCCUCAUCACAACUCAAAAUUUGCACCGAAAGCACAUGAAGGUUUUAUGCUUGGUUACGGAAAGGACUCGCACACCUACAGAGUCUUCAACAACGUUCUUCACAAAGUUGUUGAAACUGUAGAUGUGCGGUUCGAUGAAACUAAUGGCUCGCAAAGAGAGCACCUACCUACUGUGAUAGAUGAACCAACACCUGAGGAAACUAUCAAGUUCAAGGCUACUGAGGAUAUCAUUCCUACUGAAGAAUCUGCUGAAGAAUUCAUUCCAGAACAUGAAGAACGUUGAGCUAAUGCACCUAAAGAAAAUGCUGAAGAAAAUAAUGCUGAAGAAAACGCUGAUCAAACUCUUCAACGACAACCAGCUCAUCCUCGCAUUGCAAAAGAAGUGCAAGUUGAAAAGAUCAUCAAUGACAUCAAAGCGCUAGGUCCUCUCACACGCUCAAAAGCUUCACAUUUGUCUAACUUUUGUGGGCAGUAUGCUUUUGUCUCUAUUAUAGAGCCCACUAAGGUAGAUGAAGCAUUUCUGGAGCCUGAGUGGAUUCAGGCCAUGCAAGAAGAAUUACAUCAGUUCGAGCUCAACAAUGUUUGGGAACUGGUCAAACAUCCAGAUCCUCGCAAGCACAAUAUCAUCGGCACAAAGUGGAUCUACAGCAACAACCAAGAUGAAAAUGGCCUUGUGGUGAGGAAUAAGGCACAGCUUGUAGCUCAAGGCUACACACAGGUUGAAGGAAUUGAUUUCGAUGAAACUUUUGCACCUGUUGCUAGACUUGAGGCUAUUCGCAUAUUACUUGCUUAUGCUAACCAUCAUGAUAUCACUCUAUAUCAAAUGGAUGUGAAAAGUGCAUUCCUCAAUGGUAAGCUUGAGGAAGAAGUAUAUGUUGCUCAACCCCCAGGUUUUGAAGAUCCAAAGAAUCUUGACAAAGUCUUCAGACUCAACAAGGCCCUCUAUGGUCUCAAGCAGGCCCCACGGGCUUGGUAUGAUACUUUGAAGGAACUCUUCAUGAAGAAAGGCUUCAAACCCGGUUCACUCGACCCUACUUUUUUCACUAAAUCUUAUGAUGGUGAAUUGUUUGUGUGCCAAGUAUAUGUUGAUGAUAUUAUCUUUGGCUGUACUGACCAACGUUAUAGUGAUGAAUUUGCCUAUAUGAUGAGUGAAGAAUAUCAAAUGUCUAGGAUGGGAGAGUUGAAAUUCUUCUUAGGUCUUCAAAUUCGUCAACAACACAAUGGUAUAUUCAUAUCUCAGGAGAAAUACCUCAAGGAUGUACUGAGGAAAUUCAACAUGCAAGAUUGCAAAGGCGUCAAAAUUCCUAUGCCCACAAAUGGCCAUAUGUGCACUGAUGAAAAUGGUAUUGACUCCGAUCAUAAGGUAUAUCGCUCCAUGAUAGGUUCCUUAUUAUACUUAUGUGCAUCUGGGCCAAAUAUAAUGCUUAGUGUUUGCAUGUGUGCCCGAUUUCAAGCUGCACCGAAGGAAUCACACCAUAAGGCUGUGAAGCAUAUUCUUCGAUAUCUAGCUCACACACCAACACUUGGAUUAUGGUACUCCAAGGGCUCGGUUUUUUAUCUUGUUGGAUAUUCUGACUCUGACUAUGCUGGUGAUCAUGUGGAUCGCAAGUCAACAUCUGGUACAUGUCAUUUCCUCGGACGAUCUUUGGUCUGUUGGUCCUCAAAGAAAUAGAACUGCGUAUCACUAUCUACUGCUGAAGCUGAGUACAUUGCUGCUGGUUCUUGUUGUGCCCAAUUGCUAUGGAUGAAGCAAACUCUCAAGGACUACGACGUCAACAUGAAGAAUGUACCUCUCUUCUGUGACAAUGAGAGUGCCAUCAAGAUUUCUCACAACCCAGUUCAGCACUCGAAGACAAAGCACAUUCAGAUUCGUCAUCAUUUUCUUCGUGAUCAUGUGUUGAAGGGCGACAUUUCUAUUGAGCAUGCGAAGACUGAAGAACAGCUAGCCGAUAUCUUCACAAAGCCCUUGGAUGAGAAGAGAUUUAGCAAGUUGCGGUGUGAGCUAAAUAUCUUAGAGUCUUCGAAUGUUCUUUGAAAAGGACACUCAUCCUAACACUUAUGCAAAAUUGAUGACUUAGAUGUGCAACACAUGAAGAAACGUUUUACUUCAAUCAAUGAAGAAUAACACUCUUAGUGUGAAGAAAUUAACGAAGAAUUUGAUUCUCAGAACCCUACGAUAAUUGUACGUGGUAUCUGAAAUCAUCAUUCUUAUACGGUGGGUCACGCCACCACCAAAAGUUGAAAUUCCUCAAAUUAUUCAUAUUCUUCAACUUUGCAUAGUCUUCACUGGUUCCAUCAUUUUUCUUCAUUGGCUACAGCAUUCACUUAUUGCUAUUUCUUCAAGUUGGUUUUCUGCUAAGUGAAUGUGAUCGGCCCCUUCCCCUCUAUGCUAUACUCAACCCAAUCUGUUCAAAAAUUCUUCAUGUGCGUUCUAUUUGAAACUCGUUCAAAAUCUUCACUAUGUCCUUGUCAGCUGAUGAUGAGGACAUCAAUACCAUUGUUACACCCACAGCCCCUACUGUUACAUAUACUGGACCAAUUACUAGAGCUCGCGCACGCCAAUUAAAUUACCAGGUACUUUCGUUUCUUGGUAAUGAUUCUAAUGUUCAUGAGAUUAUGAUGCUGCCUAAAUUGGAUACAUUUGUUUUGCUUACAAAUGAAGGGCCUAGCUUGGAGAAGGAUGAACAUUGGAGCAAGAACACGCAUGGAGUUGAUGGCAUGCGCAAGGGGAUCAAGAACGAAGUUACAAGUGAUGAUUUCAGGACUUUGAAGCCGCCAUAAGGAGUGCAUGAAGCCUUGGACGAAAUAUACAAGAUGCCACUUCAUAAUAUUCGUCCAUAGGCUAUUCUAGGUGCUGCGUCACCUUAUUAAUGGGCCAAGCCCAUGUAAUUUCGAAAUACUUAAGUAUAGGCUAUUUUUAGAGUCCGUAUGUGUGGGGAAACAAGAGUUAGGGUUGGUUUCGGACCCCACCCUCAAGGGCCACGAAGUUCCCCACUCUUCCUCCAUAUAUACAGCCCUUAGGGCGUCGUUCAGACUUUGGGUUUUGUUUAGAUUAAAAGUUCACCAUAGCUGCAACUUCGCGUACUUCGUUUGUGUCCAACGACCAGACCAAGACGUCAUAGAACCCCACCUUGAUCAAUAAAGCUUUCAUCUUAUAUUCGCAAUAUCCCGAUUGCAAUCUCAGUUUCUUGCUUGUUCUUCGUUUGCUCACAGGAAACAGACCCUCGUGGUCAGGUUGAUCGUGCUCCGGCGUGGUCAAUAACCCUCGGAAGUUGGUUUAGCGAUUGCUAAGGCGCGACGUCUCGCACGUUCGUAGUCGGAUCGUGAUAGAGACGAGGGUGUCCCGAUCUUUCGAUGAGAUGAUAACUAUCGAUUUGGUGGAGACGACUUUGACGAUCCGACUACAAACAUGCACGACGUUGCGCCUUAGCAAUCGCUAAACCAAUCUCCUGAGGUUACUGACGAUGCCGGAAGCACGGUCAGCCUGACCACGAAGGUCUAUUCCUGCAAGCAAUCGAAGAACGAGCAAGAAUAUGAUAAAGCAAUCUGAAUAUUGCAAAUAUAUAUGAGGUAUUGAUAAUGGUGGGGAUCCGUAAGCGGUCUUGGUCUGGUCGUUGGACACAAACGAAGUACACGAAGUUGCAAUGGCUAACUUUUAACUAAACAAAUCCCAAGGAAAAGCUACUAGAUAGAUCUACUUAUAUAGGAGCAAGGGGUGGCGGCCAAGGAGGUGGGAGGACGUCCCAAGGCAGCCUAAAACUAAAUCUAGGUCGUACAAGGCCAAUGGGCCCAAGUGGAGGUGAUGUAACACCUUUGGACUUGUAGUUUGACUCGGAUUCUGCUGCAGUAUCAGAUUGUUUCGUCCACAACUCAACGCUCCGGACGAAUUUGAAGGUGAUUCCAAUUGGGUUGGAAAUUGCACGAAAUCUAGUUUCCAACAAAAAAAGAAUCACCCAAUUCGGAGUCCGUAUGAAAAACUUGUGUGCGUUUUGAGUCAGGUGUGUCUGUGCAGUCCGAAUCUGAAUCCAGAACGUGAGAGACUUGGACUCUAUCUUCUCUUGGGCCAAAAGUGACGUGAGAGAACUUUUUGGACAGCAAAUAAACAUCUCUUUCUUCCUUAUCUUCAUAUGUGGAUUGUACAAAUGUCUCAUACACCUGCAAUUAGACAAACACAAAAGUGUGUGAAGUAUUUUUGUUCUGGAUAACAUAAAUAGAUUAUUGAAUAGUUUGCACUAGAAAUCACCUGACAAAUAUGCAUAUAUGCAAUAUUUUUGGUCAUAUCCAAGGUAGUCAUGUCCUCAUCAUCCUCCCCUUCUUGAAAAUAAAGCCGUCCUCGGCAUUGCUUAAUCUGAAAUGUGGCUAACAAAAGAGACAAGGUGUACAUGUUGUAUAUGUAUAUGUCAUCCAUUUUUACUUCCCUUGAUUUUUGCAUAUAUGACACAUGAAUAGAUGAGUAACUUGCAUAGUUCAUAAAAUCUAAAGCCAAAAAAUUAGCACAAGAAGUAGAAGGCAUGAAAAUAUUGCAACUCAGUUUGCACAUAUAAGUGAAGCUCUUAUUCAUUUCAAAAGAUUGACAAUGUUCAUCAUUAAACCAUCCCAACAUUGGUGAAUAAACCUUACUUGCAUCAAAUUUACAUGCUACAAAAUGCUUAAAUAAGCAAACAUGCAAUAAGUCAUUCAACACAGAAUCAUCACCAAGAUUAGAGGUCAUAUCAAAAUGAUUAAACAUUGGUUCUUUUGCAUCAAUAGUUAAUUCAAUGGGUGCACUCAAAAUUGUUGGUAUUUCAGUUGUUUGAUCACAUGGCAAAGUCAAAUUAUCAACGUAGUCCUCUAAAAUAGGUGGUGUGAUCAAAGUAGUGGGUAGCUCAUCAGAUGGUGCAUUCAAAUUGACAAGGCAUUCAUCAUUCUCAUGUAGAGAUGGAAGAUCAGUACCUUUGUCAUUACCUCUUAUGAUCAACUCAGAUGAUGUAGCCACUCUCGGGGGCGAUGUGUCACAUGGUGGAUGUGAUGAAGUCCUGACACUUGAUAGAGGCGGGGGUGUCCCGAUCUUUCGAUGAGAUGAUAACUAUCGAUUUGGUGGAGACGACUUUGACGAUCCGACUACAAACGUGCACGACGUUGCGCCUUAGCAAUCGCUAAACCAAUCUCCUGAGGUUACUGACGAUGCCGGAAGCACGGUCAGCCUGACCACGAAGGUCUAUUCCUGCAAGCAAUCGAAGAACGAGCAAGAAUAUGAUAAAGCAAUCUGAAUAUUGCAAAUAUAUAUGAAGUAUUGAUAAUGGUGGGGAUCCGGAAGCGGUCUUGGUCUGGUCGUUGGACACAAACGAAGUACACGAAGUUGCAAUGGCUAACUUUUAACUAAACAAAUCCCAAGGAAAAGCUACUAGAUGGAUCUACUUAUAUAGGAGCAAGAGGUGGCGGCCAAGGAGGUGGGAGGACGUCCCAAGGCAGCCUAAAACUAAAUCUAGGUCGUACAAGGCCAAUGGGCCCAAGUGGAGGUGAUGUAACACCUUUGGACUUGUAGUUUGACUCGGAUUCUGCUGCAGCAUCAGAUUGUUUCGUCCACAACUCAACGCUCCGGACGAAUUUGAAGGUGAUUCCAAUUGGGUUGGAAAGUGCACGAAAUCUAGUUUCCAACACAAAAAGAAUCACCCAAUUCGGAGUCCGUAUGAAAAACUUGUGUGCGUUUUGAGUCAGGUAUGUCUGUGCAGUCCGAAUCUGAAUCCAGAACGUGAGAGACUUGGACUCUAUCUUCUCUUGGGCCAAAAGUGACGUGAGAGAACUUUUUGGACAGCAAAUAAACAUCUCUUUCUUCCUUAUCUUCAUAUGUGGAUUGUACAAAUGUCCCAUACACCUGCAAUUAGACAAAACACAAAAGUGUGUGAAGUAUUUUUGUUCUGGAUAACAUAAAUAGAUUAUUGAAUAGUUUGCACUAGAAAUCACCUGACAAAUAUGCAUAUAUGCAAUAUUUUUGUUCAUAUCCAAGGUAGUCAUGUCCUCAUCAUCCUCCCCUUCUUGAAAAUAAAGCCGUCCUCGGCGUUGCUUAAUCUGAAAUGUGGCUAACAAAAGAGACAAGGUGUACAUGUUGUAUAUGUAUAUGUCAUCCAUUUUUACUUCCCUUGAUUUUUGCAUAUAUGACACAUGAAUAGAUGAGUAACUUGCAUAGUUCAUAAAAUCGAAAGCCAAAAAAUUAGCACAAGAAGUAGAAGGCAUGAAAAUAUUGCAACUCAGUUUGCACAUAUAAGUGAAGCUCUUAUUCAUUUCAAAAGAUUGACAAUGUUCAUCAUUAAACCAUCCCAACAUUGGUGAAUAAACCUUACUUGCAUCAAAUUUACAUGCUACAACAUGCUUAAAUAAGCAAACAUGCAAUAAGUCAUUCAACACAGAAUCAUCACCAAGAUUAGAGGUCAUAUCAAAAUGAUUAAACAUUGGUUCUUUUACAUCAAUAGUUAAUUCAAUGGGUGCACUCAAAAUUGUUGGUAUUUCAGUUGUUUGAUCACAUGGCAAAGUCAAAUUAUCAACGUAGUCCUCUAAAAUAGGUGGUGUGAUCAAAGUAGUGGGUAGCUCAUCAGAUGGUGCAUUCAAAUUGACAAGGCAUUCAUCAUUCUCAUGUAGAGAUGGAAGAUCAAUACCUUUGUCAUUACCUCUUAUGAUCAACUCAGAUGAUGUAGCCACUCUCGGGGGCGAUGUGUCACAUGGUGGAGGUGAUGUAGUCCUGACAACAACGGAUGUGGUUGUCAUAGUAUGCCUAGUAGUUGAAGGAACAAUCAUAUCAACUCUUGGAAUGUGCACCGUGCGCUUGUUCUCCUCGUGGCCAACACGUCAUUUUAUUUCCUGUUCAGCUUUGCAAGCAAGAUGAAACAAAUGGUCCAUAGGAUAACACUCUUCAUGAAUUAGUAUCUCUGGAAUAUCACAGUUUAAUCCUCCCAAAAAUCUAUCCAUAAAAUCAUCUUCACUUUCUUCUAAAAAGGAAUGCAACAAGGUAGUUUGUAAAUCAUCAUAAUAUUUUGUUACAGUUUCACUACCUUGUUUUAAGUGUUGCAACUUCUUAAUCAUGUCACGAGUAUAAUAAGCAGGGACGAAAGUAUGUCGCAUGGCAAGUUUCAAAUCAUCCCAAGUAGUAGGUAUAUAAUCAGGGUGUAACUGACAAUAUUCACUCCACCAAACCAAAGCAUAACCAGUGAAAGAACCAACCGCAACCUUAACCUUUUUAUGUUCAUUGAAAUUAUGGGAAGCAAAUAUAUUUUUUAUGUCGAACUCCCAUUCAAUAUAUAAAGCAGGUUUAAAACGGCCAUUAAAUGGUGGUAUGGAUACAUUAACCUGAUCAUGUGCAUUUGGAUGUUUGUGCACCUCUCGUGACGGUUGUGGUAUUUGCAAAGGUGGUGGCACGUCUCCCGCGAUCGACAAAGCCCAUGAAUUGACUCUGGAUCCUGUCAUGAUUAGUAGAACAAGAAACAAAACCCAAAAAUAUUGUUCCUAUAACUACUAGGAUGUGGUGGUAAAACGCUCACAGUAAAGCAAAUAUCAAUGUCUUACAAAUUCUUACCAUGCAGCAGGCGGUGAUCGGCAACCAGCGGUGUCAAGUAACUCCGAAUAUUGAGUAAAGCGAUUGCCAGGGGAGCGUAUGUAUACACGGUGUAGAAAUAUGUGGAGCUGGGUUGGCUAUAUAUGGUAGCAAAAGAUUAGCAAUAAUCAAUUCAAAGAUGCAAUGUUGAAUAAACGCUCAACGACGAUACUGUGCUGGUCCUAGGCUAGACCGGACUAGAGACGCGAGCCUAGAACACUAAUGAGGUCACGGCGUAGCACAACUAGCAUCAAUGAAGGAUACUAAGUAGCUCUUGACAGCAAGAUAUAAGUAAAGAUCACAACGGCAGUGAACAUAAUGAUGAAAAACAACUGCCAAGCAGGAUAUACAACAACUCUCUCUCCAACUUUCCUCUUGAAAAGUUUGAGACAAUUUUCUGAUAAAUUCUUUCAAAGAAUGCUACUAACUCAAGCUUUCCAAUGCAAAAAAGAAUCACUCAAUUCCGAGUUGAUAUGAGGAGUCAAAUAAUUCUAAAACUGGCCUGAAAAAUUGGAACAAGCUGUAUUCACGAACUUCGGAGGGCAAAAAGACCUAUUUAGAAGCCGAUUUUGAGGUGUCAAAUAUUGAACUACCUUCUGUAACUAUUUAGAUGCGGCUCGUCGCUAUCUUCAAUUUGAGUACUCACGGAGCCAAAACGGACUUCGUAUGAGGAAGAUACACCUGUUUUACUGAACAGUGCGCAAAACAGAUUCCAAUCCGAAUUCAGGUACGAGAUUGAUUCUAGAUAGAUCCAAUUUUUUUCUUCUCUCUUUUUUUUUCUCACGCUUUUUUUUUCUUCUCUCUCUUUUUCUUUCCUUUUUUUCUCUUUUUUUUUCUCUAUCUUUUUUUUCUCCCUCUUUCCAAGACAAACUAGAUAAGAUGCAGAUUGGAUUAGGCGAAGAUGUGAAUGACCUCAACUAUGAUUAUGACAAUGAACAGUGCAUAACACGUGGUGGAAAUUAAUAGAUGGGAUGGUGGACAGCGGAACGGAUAAUAAUGCAGCGGCGGCGUGACUAAUGUGAACAGAACUCGAAACUCUAAAGGAACUAGACACUAAGACCAGCAACUGACACGGUGAUGCAACCGAUAAUUCGACUAUGCAAGCAAUGAAUAGAAAAUUGCAAAGGCUCAGACUGGCUUGGAUAAAGGAUGAACAGAUCUAACUUUUUUUGUGGCUUUUUCUUGGACAAUAGGUAAGAAAAUAAAUCUAAUCUAAGAAAAACUGGAAAUUCUCACCGAGCAACCUGAAAACUGAUACCACUUGAUAGAGACGAGGGUGUCCCGAUCUUUCGAUGAGAUGAUAACUAUCGAUUUGGUGGAGACGACUUUGACGAUCCGACUAUAAACGUGCACGACGUUGCGCCUUAGCAAUCGCUAAACCAAUCUCCUGAGGUUACUGAUGAUGCCGGAAGCACGGUCAGCCUGACCACGAAUGUCUAUUCCUGCAAGCAAUUGAAGAACGAGCAAGAAUAUGAUAAAGCAAUCUGAAUAUUGCAAAUAUAUAUGAGGUAUUGAUAAUGGUGGGGAUCCGUAAGCGGUCUUGGUCUGGUCGUUGGACACAAACGAAGUACACGAAGUUGCAAUGGCUAACUUUUAACUAAACAAAUCCCAAGGAAAAGCUACUAGAUAGAUCUACUUAUAUAGGAGCAAGGGGUGGCGGCCAAGGAGGUGGGAGGACGUCCCAAGGCAGCCUAAAACUAAAUCUAGGUCGUACAAGGCCAAUGGGCCCAAGUGGAGGUGAUGUAACACCUUUGGACUUGUAGUUUGACUCGGAUUCUGCUGCAGUAUCAGAUUGUUUCGUCCACAACUCAACGCUCCGGACGAAUUUGAAGGUGAUUCCAAUUGGGUUGGAAAGUGCACGAAAUCUAGUUUCCAACAAAAAAAGAAUCACCCAAUUCGGAGUCCGUAUGAAAAACUUGUGUGCAUUUUGAGUCAGGUGUGUCUGUGUAGUCCGAAUCUGAAUCCAGAACGUGAAAGACUUGGACUCUAUCUUCUCUUGGGCCAAAAGUGACGUGAGAGAACUUUUUGGACAGCAAAUAAACAUCUCUUUCUUCCUUAUCUUCAUAUGUGGAUUGUACAAAUGUCCCAUACACCUGCAAUUAGACAAAACACAAAAAUGUGUGAAGUAUUUUUGUUCUGGAUAACAUAAAUAGAUUAUUGAAUAGUUUGCACUAGAAAUCACCUGACAAAUAUGCAUAUAUGCAAUAUUUUUGGUCAUAUCCAAGGUAGUCAUGUCCUCAUCAGAUCGUCAAGGUCGACUCCCACAGAAAACGAUAGCCACCAUCUCAUCGAAACAUCGGGACACCUUAGCCUCUAUCAAGUGGUAUCAGAUUUCUAGGUUGCUCGGUGAGAUUUUACAGUUUUUCGUAGAUUAGAUCGAGUCUGUUCUUCAUACCUACAGUCCACGAAAAAGCCAGAAAAAAAAUUAGGGUUAGUCCAUCAUAUCCGAACCAAUCUGAGCCUUUGCAUAAUCUUUUUAGGGUUUUUGCUUUGUUGAAUUUGCGGUUGCAUCAUCGUGUCAAGUUGCUGGUCUUAGAGUCUAGUCAGAGUUUCGAGUUCUGGUCAUAAGUUGUCACGCCGCCGCCGCACCAUCAUCAUCGCCCAUCUACCACUUUUUCUUAUCCGCCACCGCUCUGAAUCCAUAUCCAUAUACCACCACCAAUCCGUAUCCAUAUACCACCACCAAUCUGUAUCCAUAUACCACCACCGCUACCAUAUACCACCACCGCUGCCAUAUACCACAACCAUAUAUCCACCACCAAUCUGAGUUCUUCUCAUAUUAGGUUUGUUCUUGAGAUCAAUCUAAAUUCCGUUUCGUGUUUCCUUGCCUGCGUAGGUCUCGGAAAAAAAAAGAGUCUGGAGACCCCCGGGCAGUUUUUAGGCCAAAAAUUUCACGGGCAAAUUUUUUUCCCUAUCCUAUUUUUAGGCUUUUCUGAGUCUUUUGAGCCACGUGCCAUCAUAGUGAUUUUUUGUCGUCGCUGCCCUGAUUUCCAAAAAAAAGUGAAACAAAAAUUUCGUGCCCAUCCUAUCAGUUUGACGAGGGAAGAGUUUUGAGACACUCGCCAUUAUAGUGAUUUUUCACAAAAAAAAAGAGCGCAAAAAAAAGGAGCGCAAAAAAAAAAGAGCGAAAAAAAAGAGUUCCAGAGUGUGCUUUUCCCUUAUUUACGUGCAGCGCCGUGAUUUUCUUAGUGUUCUAGGCUCGCGUCUCUAGCACGGUCUAGCCUAGGACCAGCACAGUACCGUCGUUGAGCGUUUAUUCAACUUUGCAUCUCUGAAUUGAUUAUUGCUGGCCCUUUUUGCUACCAUACUAUAAGCCUUCCCAGCUCCACAUACAUCUACGUCGUGCGUUUGACUCUCCCUGUGAUGAGGACAUGACUACCUUGGAUAUGACCAGAAAUAUUGCAUAUAUGCAUAUUUGUCAGGUGAUUUCUAGUGCAAACUAUUCAAUAAUCUAUUUGUGUUAUCCAGAACAAAAAUACUUCACACACUUUUGUGUUUUGUCUAAUUGCAGGUGUAUGGGACAUUUGUACAAUCCACAUAUGAAGAUAAGGAAGAAAGAGAUGUUUAUUUGCUGUCCAAAAAGUUCUCUCACGUCACUUUUGGCCCAAGAGAAGAUAGAGUCCAAGUCUCUCACGUUCUGGAUUCAGAUUCGGACUGCACAGACAUACCUGACUCAAAACGCACACAAGUUUUUCAUACGGACACCGAAUUGGGUGAUUCUUUUUUUGUUGGAAACUAGAUUUCGUGCAAUUUCCAACCCAAUUAGAAUCACCUUCAAAUUCGUCCGGAGCGUUGAGUUGUGGACGAAACAAUCUGAUGCUGCAGCAGAAUCCGAGUCAAAUUACAAGUCCAAAGGUGUUACAUCACCUCCACUUGGGCCCAUUGGCCUUGUACGACCUAGAUUUAGUUUUAGGCUGCCUUGGGACGUCCUCCCACCUCCUUGGCCGCCACCCCUUGCUCCUAUAUAAGUAGAUCCAUCUAGUAGCUUUUUGCUUGGGAUUUGUUUAGUUAAAAGUUAGCCAUUGCAACUUCGUGUACUUCGUUUGUGUCCAAUGACCAGACCAAGACCGCUUACGGAUCCCCACCUUUAUCAUUACUUCAUAUAUACUCGCAAUAUUCAGAUUGCUUUUAUCAUAUUCUUGCUUGUUCUUCGAUUGCUUGCAGGAAUAGACCUUCGUGGUCAGGUUGAUUGUGCUCCGGCGUGGUCAAUAACCUCUCGGAGUUGGUUUAGCGAUUGCUAAGGCGCAACUCGCGCACGUUUGUAGUCGGAUCGUCAAAGUCGUCUCCACCAAAUUGAUAGUUAUCAUCUCAUCGAAAGAUCGGGACACCCCCGCCUCUAUCAAGUGGUAUCAGUUUUCAGGUUGCUCGGUGAGAUUUUACAGUUUUUCAUAGUUUAGAUCGCAUCUGUCAUUCAUACCUAUAGUUCAUGAAAAAGCCACAAAAAAAAGUUAGAUCUGUUCAUCCUUUAUCCAAGCCAGUCUGAGCCUUUGCAAUUUUCUAUUCGUUGCUUGCAUAGUUGAAUUAUCGGUUGCAUCGUCGUGUCAGUUGCUGGUCUUAGUGUCUAGUUCCUUUAGAGUUUCGAGUUCUGUUCACAUUAGUCACGCCGCCGCUGCAUCAUUAUCCCUUCCGCUGUCCACCAUCCCAUCUAUUAAUUUCCACCACGUGCUACGCGCUGUUCAUUGUCAUAAUCAUAGUUGAGGUCAUUCACAUCUUUGCCUGAUCCAAUCUGCAUCUUAUCUAGUUUGUCUUGGAAAGAGGGAGAAAAAAAAGAGAGAAAAAAGAGAGAAAAAAAGGAAAGAAAAAAAAAGAAAAAGAGAGAGAAGAAAAAGAAAAAAAAAGCGUGAGGAAAAAA
rnacentral:lncRNA from 1 species